rnacentral:lncRNA from 1 species
CAAAGGAGCAACUUUGGUGGCAUGGAACAAAACAUUGAGGUCGAGGAAUAAAGUAACUUCUUUUCCUUAUUCUAUUUAAUUUUUUCCUUAGAUAUGCUUAGAUUUAUAUUUAUGCUUGUUGAUUUUGUAUAAACAUGUGGGUAUAAGAUAAUGAAUAUUUUAUGAAUUAUGUAUCGCCUUUUCUCUUCCUAUUUUAUGAAUUUUCGUAUUGCCUUUGAGAAAAUUAGGUAUCUCCUAUUGUAGAAAAGAUCAUAAAAUCACACGUUAAGUGGGUUGAGGAUGUAUAGAAGAGGCCAUUAGAAGUCCCAAUAAAGAGAGUAAAUCAAAAGUGGUUAGUCUACUUCCUAUUUUAUGAAUUUGCGUAUUGCCUUUUUUCUUCCUCUUUUAUCAUUUGUUUUGUUGGUUUUUCCUUAUAAUUUAUUAUCUAUCAUUCUCGAGAAACUUAUUUCUAUUACCUUUUUUUUAAAGUUUAUAAUAGCCAUGUUUUUCAUUAGUGCUAUAGAUCUUCCUCACUCUUAUGUAUUUUAGAAAUUUGUUUUCAUUUCAACAUAACUCCAUAUCUACUUAUGUUACAUUUUUGGUCUGGUGGGUUCUCGACUGAAAUCUGUGAAAAGUUCCGUAUUGAAGAUAUGCUAUAGGUUAUAAUUUUUCCUUCGGAAUAAUUUACAAUCAUAUUUGUAUUUAAAACUGAUUUCUAAGGGUAGAGACUAACCUGGGUCAUAGCUAGGGCUGACAAUGAGUGUGUAUGGGCUCGGAUAGUGCACUACUCUGAUCUGUCUUGUUCACCCGAUUUUGUCUUCGACCCACAUGAAUAACUGUUUGGCCUGCUAACUGCAGGUCCUUUGAUAUCCAACGGAUCCAUGAGUAUCUAUUAAUUCAUAGUAAAAUUAUUUGAUAUUUAGUUUUGAUAGGUUGAUCAUUGUGAUAUUUAAUCUCAAAAAAAGUUCUAUCCAGAUUUUUUCUAACCUUAUGGAUAAAGAACUAAUCCCUUUCGCGAACUGUUUCUCCCAAUAAAUGUAACUCUCAGAAGUCGAACCCUUAAGUUUUGUCCUUUUCAAGUCAAAUGAACUAUUAGAAACGAAUAAUUAUGGUUGAAGAUAUGCAUAUAAUGAGAGGAACCUCAAGUUGGUUUGGGCUCUAGCUAGAAGUUUGUAACCAUGAAUCCUUGACAGAGAUGGUGAGAAGGAUGGAGCGAGAGUGCUAGACUACAUGAGUGUGUGUUUGGGAGUCCAUGGAAGAGACUGAGAGAGGAUGGAUGGAGUCAGACUCAAAUAGUGGGAGCAUAUGAGGGAGGUAGUGAGAACUAGGGAUGACAAUGAAAAAGAGAGAGGAUCCACUUACUCUAAGAUUUAAACUUCCUUAUCCUAGCCUUCAAUUCUAGGGAAAUCUAAUGGUUUAAAUUUACCCACUACUUCAAACCAUUAGAUUCCCCAAGAAUUGAUGGAUAAGAUAGGUUGGAGUAAGUGGAUCCCUUCUCUUUAUAUAAUAGUACUUUUUGAAGAAAAUAGGAGGAGCCCUUAGCAUUGUAUAAUAGUUGCUUGCUUAUACAAAUAUGUGAUAAAUUUCAAUAACUUAUUUGUCAUACACACUAGUUUAAGACAUGUAUAUAGCCUUAUCCCUCUGUAUCCUUAAAUAGUUGAAGAAUUAUCAUUCCACAUAGUUCUUGAAUACACAGAUAAAGGUUCUACCUUGUUUUGCCAUCCCAAAUCUGACAAACUUUAACCUCAAAUUGGAAUCCACCAUCAUUUUUUAUCAUUAAUUGUCGUUGAACAAAAUNNNNNNNNNNNNNNNNNNNNNNNNNNNNNNNNNNNNNNNNNNNNNNNNNNNNNNNNNNNNNNNNNNNNNNNNNNNNNNNNNNNNNNNNNNNNNNNNNNNNUAGAGACUAACCUGGGUCAUAGCUAGGGAUGACAAUGAGUAUGUAUGGACUCAGAUAGUGCACUACUCUGAUCUAUCUUGUUCACCCGAUUUUGUCUUCGACCCACAUGAAUAACUGUUUGGUCUGCUAACUCUAGGUCCUUUGAUAUCCAACGGAUCCAUGAGUAUCUAUUAAUUCAUACUGACUUAGGUGAAGAUAACAGUUAUGGUCGACGACGACUUAGACAAACGACCACUCUUGAUGUGGUUUGGGCUCUAGCUAGAAGUUUGUAACCAUGAAUCCUUGACAGAGAUGGUGAGAAGGAUGGAGCGAGAGUGCUAGACUACAUGAGUGUGUGUUUGGGAGUCCAUGGAAGAGACUGAGAGAGGAUGGAUGGAGUCAGACUCAAAUAGUGGGAGCAUAUGAGGGAGGUAGUGAGAACUAGGGAUGACAAUGAAAACCGAACCCAUGGGUACCCGCCCAAACCGAACCCGAAAUUAAUGGGGAAAACCUGAUGUGAUUGGGUUUUGGUUUUACCCGAGUUUAAUUUUCAGAUUCGGGUUUGGUAGAACAAAGAUCCUAACCCAAACCUGCCCCGAUGUAAUGUAAUUCAAUAUAAAAUUGAAAUUUCUAUCAUGUGUCCAUGGUUUUUAAUUUCUAAUUUUACUUUACAUACUAUUGGAUCUUCAAACAUAAAAGAAAUGAAAUAAUACAAGAGAAAAUAGAAAUGCUAGAGAAAAAUGAAACGAAAAUGAUAUCAUACUUUCCUUAGUAUCUAUAUAAUUUUUGGGUUACUCGAAACCCAAUGGGUUCGAGUUCGGGGAUGAUAUCUUUAUUUUCAACCCGUUGAGUUUGGGUUCGAGUUUUGAAUAUCAGGUUUGGGUAUGUGCAAACCCGAAACCACCAUCAUUUUUUAUCAUUAAUUGUUGUUGAACAAAAUCCACUAAACAUAGAGAGUUACUUUAACGAUGAUAUUAAAGAUAAAGAAUAUUAUAUAAAUAGAACAUGUAAGAAGAUAAUGACAUAUGGACAAUGUGUUUAGAAUGAAAAUAUGCUUGACUAAACAAAAUAUUCCUAGUUUUAUUACAAACAUGGGUUAAGAAAACUUGACUAUAAUUACCUUCUUUUUUUUUACAUUUCCAUGUAAGAAUGCUAUUGUAGAUUAGGUCAAAAUAUGACCAUAUUUGGGAAGUAAAAUUGGAAAUUUUAAUAGUCAAGUUUUGAUAGGUAAACAUAGUUACAUGCUAAAGACAUUGUCCAUUUGUUAUUGAAUUUUUACAAGUCCGAAUACAUUUAUAGUCUUUACUUUAAUUUGGUUGAAAUUUUAAAUAUUGGAUAUUGUUUAAGGGAUAUUUAAUUAGUAAAAUAUUUUUGAAUUCUAGUAUGACAACAAAGUUUGUUAUUUUGGGAUGACAAAGCAUGAUAAAGCUUAUAUUUUCCGGCCUGUGCUAAUAUUAAUGGCAUGAUAAUGUUUAGGACAUUUUAUAUUUGGAAUACAUUUUACUAUAUUGUUUUCAUUUCAACAAGAGACUAUGGCUUCUUAUCUUCCUCAUUUUGAAUAAUUUUUGUUUAAGCAAGUAGUCUUGUCCAUUCUACUUCAAAAGAAGUUCUAAAUUGGUGACACAUGAGGUGAGUUUUUAUUCUAUUUUCUAUUCAAAAUAACAUUUUUAUUCAGGCUUUUCUAGAAGUUUGCACUGAAAUAAAUUACUUCUACAAUCCGGAAUAUAAAAAAUAAAAUUGUUAUAAUUAGAUUCUUGUUUAAUAAAUUGAUUGCACCAUUUUGGAGAUGCCACAACCAACCACAUGGGAGACAUUUUGAAUGACAAGUUAAGAAGUUACAACAAAACCACAUUUAGUAAAUCCCUUAAUAUUUUACAUGUGUAUCCAACAUGAAAAAUAAGAAUUUAUAUAAUAGUACUUUUUGAAGAAAAUAGGCGGAGCCCUUACCAUUGUAUAAUAGUUGCUUGCUUAUACGAAUAUGUGAUAAAUUUGAAUAAGUUAUUUUUCAUAUACACUAGUUUAAACCAUGUAUAUAGCCUUAUCACUCUGUAACCCUAAAUAGUUGAAGAAUUGUCAUUCCACAUAGUUCGUGAAUACACAGAUAAAGGUUCUACCUUUUUUUGCCAUCCCAAAUCUGACAAACUUUAACCUCAAAUUGGAAUCCACCAUCAUUUUUUAUCAUUAAUUGUUGUUGAACAAAAUCCACUAAACAUAGAGAAUUACUUUAACGAUGAUAUUAAAGAUAAAGAAUAUUAUAUAAAUGGAACAUGUAAGAAGAUAAUGACAUAUGGACAAUGUGUUUAGAAUGAAAAUAUGCUUGACUAAACAAAAUAUUCCUAGUUUCAUUACGAACAUGGGUAUAGAAAACUUGACUAUAACUACCUUCUUUUUUUUUAAAUUUCCAUGUAAGAUUGCUUUAGUAGAUUAGGUCAAAAUAUGACCAUCUUUGGGAAGCAACAUUGGAAAUUUUAAUAGUUAAGUUUUGCUAGGUAUACACAGUUACAUGCUAAAGACAUUGUCCAUUUGUUAUUGAAUUUUUACAANNNNNNNNNNNNNNNNNNNNNNNNNNNNNNNNNNNNNNNNNNNNNNNNNNNNNNNNNNNNNNNNNNNNNNNNNNNNNNNNNNNNNNNNNNNNNNNNNNNNAUUCAAUGAAAUUACAUCAACAAUCUGGAAUAUGAAAAAAAUGAAAUUGUUAUAAUUAGAUUCUUGUUUUAUAAAUUGAUUGCACCAUUUUGGAGAUGCCACAACAAAAUCACAUAGGAGAAUUUGGAAUGGUAAGUGCAGAUGUUACAACAAAACCACAUUUAGUCAAUCCCUGAAUAUUUCACAUGUGUAUCCAACAUGAAAAACAUGAAUUUAUAUAAUAGUACUUUUUGAAGAAAAUAGGAGGAGCCCUUACCAUUGCAUAAUAGUUGCUUGCUUAUACAAAUAUGUGAUAAAUUUGAAUAAGUUAUUUUUCAUAUACACUAGUUUAAGACAUGUGUAUUGCCUUAUCACUCUGUAACCCUAAAUAGUUGAAGAAUUGUCAUUCCACAUAGUUGUUGUAUACACAGAUAAAGGUUCUACCUUGUCUUGCCAUCCCAAAUCUGACAAACUUUUACCUCAAAUUGGAAUCCACAAUCAUUUUUAUAAUUAAUUUUCGUGGAACAAAAUCCAUAAAACAUAGAAAAUUACUUUAACGAUGAUAUUAAAGAUAAAGAAUAUUAUAUAAAUGGAACAUGUAAGAAGAUAAUCACAUAUGGGCAACGUGAUUAGAAUGAAAACAUUCUUGACUGAACAAAAUAUUCCUAGUUUUAUUACAAACAUGGGUUUAGAAAACGUGACUAUAACUACCUUCUUUUUUUUGCAUUUCCAUGUAAGAUUGCUUUAGUAGAUUAGGUCAAAAUAUGACCAUCUUUGGGAAGCAACAUUGGAAAUUUUAAUAGUCAAGUUUUGAUAGGUAUACAUAAUUACAUGCUAAAGACAUUGUCCAUUUGUUAUUGAAUUUUUACAAGUCCGAAUACAUUUAUAGUCUUUACUUUAAUUUGGUUGUUAAGCUAAUUUUAAAUAUUGAUAUUGUUUAAAGGAUAUUAAAUUAGUAAAAUAUUUUUGGAUUCUAGUAUGACAACAAAGUUUGUUAUUUUGGGAUGACAAAGCAUGAUAAAGCAUAUAUUUUCCUGCUUGUGCUAAUGUUAAUGGCAUGCUAAUGUUUAGGACAUUUUAUAUUUGGAAUACAUUUUACUAUAUUGUCUUCAUUUCAACAAGAGGCUAUGGCUUCUGAUCUUCCUCAUUUUGAAUAAUUUUUUUAUAAGCAAGUUGUCUUCUCCAUUCUACUUCAAAAUAAGUUCUUAAUUGGUGACACAUGAGGUGAGUUUUUAAUCUGUUUUCUAUUCAAAAUAACAUUUUUUAUUCAGGCUUUUCUAGAUGUUUGCAUUCAAUGAAAUUACAUCAACAAUCUGGAAUAUGAAAAAAAUUAAAUUGUUAUAAUUAGAUUCUUGUUUUAGAAAUUGAUUGCACCAUGUUGGAGAUGCCACAACAAAACCACAUUGGAGAAUUUUGAAUGGUAAGUGAAGAUGUUACAGCAAAACCACAUUUAGUCAAUCCCUGAAUAUCUCACACGUGUAUCCAACAUGAAAAACAUGAAUUUAUAUAAUAGUACUUUUUGAAGAAACUAGGAGGAGCCCUUACCGUUGCAUAAUAGUUGCUUGCUUAUACAAAUAAGUGAUAAAUUUGAAUAAGUUAUUUUCAUAUACACUAGUUUAAGACAUGAGUAUUGCCUUAUCACUCUGUAACCCUAAAUAGUUGAAGAAUUGUCAUUCCACAUAGUUGUUGUAUACACAGAUAAAGGUUCUACCUUGUUUUGCCAUCCCAAAUCUGACAAACUUUUACCUCAAAUUGGAAUCCACCAUCAUUUUUAUAAUUAAUUUUCGUGGAACAAAAUCCAUAAAACAUAGAAAAUUACUUUAACGAUGAUAUUAGAGAUAAAGAUAAUUAUAUAAAUGGAACAUGUAAGAAGAUAAUGACAUAUGGGCAACGUGAUUAGAAUGAAAACAUUCUUGACUGAACAAAAUAUUCCUAGUUUUAUUACAAACAUGGGUUUAGAAAACGUGACUAUAAUUACCUUCUUUUUUUUUACAUUUCCAUGUAAGAAUGCUGUUGUAGAUUAGGUCAAAAUAUGACCAUAUUUGGGAAGCAACAUUGGAAAUUUUAAUAGUCAAGUUUUGAUAGGUAUACAUAAUUUCAUGCUAAAGACAUUGUCCAUUUGUUAUUGAAUUUUUACAAGUUUGAAUACAUUUAUAGUCUUUACUUUAAUGUUGUUGUUAAGCUAAUUUUAAAUAUUGGAUAUUGUUUAAAGGAUAUUAAAUUAGUAAAAUAUUUUUGGAUUCUAGUAUGACAACAAAGUUUGUUAUUUUGGGAUGACAAAGCAUGAUAAAGCUUAUAUUUUNNNNNNNNNNNNNNNNNNNNNNNNNNNNNNNNNNNNNNNNNNNNNNNNNNNNNNNNNNNNNNNNNNNNNNNNNNNNNNNNNNNNNNNNNNNNNNNNNNNNUAGAUGUUUGCAUUCAAUGAAAUUACUUCAACAAUCUGGAAUAUGAAAAAAAUUAAAUUGUUAUAAUUAGAUUCUUGUUUUAUAAAUUGAUUGCACCAUUUUGGAGAUGCCACAACAAAACCACAUUGGAGAAUUUUAAAUGGUAAGUGAAGAUGUUACAACAAAACCACAUUUAGUCCAUCCCUGAAUAUCUCACAUGUGUAUCCAACAUGAAAAACAUGAAUUUAUAUAAUAGUACUUUUUGAAGAAAAUAGGAGGAGCCCUUACCGUUGCAUAAUAGUUGCUUGCUUAUACAAAUAAGUGAUAAAUUUGAAUGAGUUAUUUUUCAUAUACACUAGUUUAAGACAUGUGUAUUGCCUUAUCACUCUGUAACCCCAAAUAGUUGAAGAAUUGUCAUUCCACAUAGUUGUUGUAUACACAGAUAAAGGUUCUACCUUGUUUUGCCAUCCCAAAUCUGACAAACUUUUACCUCAAAUUGGAAUCCACCANNNNNNNNNNNNNNNNNNNNNNNNNNNNNNNNNNNNNNNNNNNNNNNNNNNNNNNNNNNNNNNNNNNNNNNNNNNNNNNNNNNNNNNNNNNNNNNNNNNNAAACAUAGAAAAUUACUUUAACGAUGAUAUUAAAGAUAAAGAAUAUUAUAUAAAUGGAACAUGUAAGAAGAUAAUGACAUAUGGGCAACGUGAUUAGAAUGAAAACAUUCUUGACUGAACAAAAUACUCCUAGUUUUAUUACAAACAUGGGUUUAGAAAACUUGACUAUAAUUACCUUCUUUUUUUUACAUUUCCAUGUAAGAAUGCUGUUGUAGAUUAGGUCAAAAUAUGACCAUAUUUGGGAAGCAACAUUGGAAAUUUUAAUAGUCAAGUUUUGAUAGGUAUACACUGUUACAUGCUAAAGACCUUGUCCAUUUGUUAUUGAAUUUUUACAAGUCUGAAUACAUUUAUAGUCUUUACUUUAAUUUUGUUGUUAAGCUAAUUUUAAAUAUUGGAUAUUGUUUAAGGGAUAUUUAAUUAGUAAAAUAUUUUUGGAUUCUAGUAUGACAACAAAGUUUGUUAUUUUGGGAUGACAAAGCAUGAUAAAGCUUAUAUUUUCCGGCUUGUGCUAAUGUUAAUGGCAUGAUAAUGUUUAGCACAUUUUAUAUUUGGAAUACAUUUUACGAUAUUGUCUUCAUUUCAACAAGAGGCUAUGGCUUCUUAUCUUCCUCAUUUUGAAUAAUUUUUUUAUAAGCAAGUAGUGUUGUCCAUUCUACUUCAGAAGAAGUUCUAAAUUGGUGACACAUGAGGUGAGUUUUUAUUCUAUUUUCUAUUCAAAAUGACAUUUUUUAUUCAGGCUUUUCGAGAAGUUUGCACUCAAUGAAAUUACUUCAACAAUCCGGAAUAUCAAAAAUUAAAUUGUUAUAAUUAGAUUCUUGUUUAAUAAAUUGAUUGCACCAUUUUGGAGAUGCCACAACAAAACCACAUUGGAGACAUUUUGAAUGGUAAGUGAAGAUGUUACAACAAAACCACAUUUAGUAAAUCCCUAACAAAACCACAUUGGAGACAUUUUGAAUGGUAAGUCAAGAUGUUACAACAAAACCACAUUUAGUCAAUCCCUGAAUAUUUUACAUGUGUAUCCAACAUGUAAAAAACGAAUUUAUAUAAUAGUACUUUUUGAAGAAAAUAGGAGGAGCCCUUACCAUUGUAUAAUAGUUGCUUGCUUAUACGAAUAUGUGAUAAAUGUGAAUAAGUUAUUUUUCAUAUACACUAGUUUAAUACAUGUAUAUAGCCUUAUCACUCUAUAACCCUAAAUAGUUGAAGAAUUGUCAUUCCACCUAGUUCUUGAAUACACAGAUAAAGGUUCUACCUUGUUUUGCCAUCCCAAAUCUGACAAACUUUAACCUCAAAUUGGAAUCCACCAUCAUUUUUUAUCAUUAAUUGUUGUUGAACAAAAUCCACUAAACAUAGAGAAUUACUUUAACGAUGAUAUUAAAGAUAAAGAUUAUUAUAUAAAUGGAACAUGUAAGAAGAUAAUGACAUAUGGACAAUCUGUUUAGAAUGAAAAUAUGCUUGACUAAAAAAAAUAUUCAUAGCUAUACACAGUUACAUGCUAAUGACAUUGUCCAUUUGUUAUUGAAUUUUUACAAGUGUGAAUACAUUUAUAGUCUUUACUUUAAUUUUGUUGUUAAGCUAAUUUUAAAUAUUGGAUAUUGUUUAAGGGAUAUUAAAGUAGUAAAAUAUUUUUGGAUUCUAGUAUGACAACAAAGUUUGUUAUUUUGGGAUGACAAAGCAUGAUAAAGCUUAUAUUUUCCUGCUUGUGCUAAUGUUAAUGGCAUGCUAAUGUUUAGGACAUUUUAUAUUUGGAAUACAUUUUACUAUAUUGUCUUCAUUUCAACUAUGGCUUCUUAUCUUCCUCAUUUUGAAUAAUUAUUUUAUAAGUAAGUUGUCUUGUCCAUUCUACUUCAAAAUAAGUUCUAAAUUGGUGACACAUGAGGUGAGUUUUUAAUCUGUUUUCUAUUCAAAAUGACAUUUUUUAUUCAGGCUUUUCUAGAUGUUUGCAUUCAAUGAAAUUACUUCAACAAUCUGGAAUAUGAAAAAAAUUAAAUUGUUAUAAUUAGAUUCUUGUUUUAUAAAUUGAUUGCACCAUUUUGGAGAUGCCACAACAAAACCACAUUGGAGACAUUUUGAAUGGUAAGUGAAGAUUUUACAACAAAACCACAUUUAGUCAAUCCCUAAAUAUUUUACAUGUGUAUCCAACAUGAAAAACAACAAUUUAUAUAAUAGUACUUUUUGAAGAAAAUAGGAGGAGCCCUUACCAUUGUAUAAUAGUUGCUUGCUUAUACAAAUAUGAGAUAAAUUUGAAUAAGUUAUUUUUCAUAUACACUAGUUUAAGACAUGUGUAUUGCCUUAUCACUCUGUAACCUUAAAUAGUUGAAGAAUUGUCAUUCCACAUAGUUGUUGUAUACACAGAUAAAGGUUCUACCUUGUCUUGCCAUCCCAAAUCUGACAAACUUUUACCUCAAAUUGGAAUCCACAAUCAUUUUUAUAAUUAAUUUUCGUUGAAUAAAAUCCACUAAACAUAGAGAAUUACUUUAACGAUGAUAUUACAGAUAAAGAAUGUUAUAUAAAUGGAACAUGUAAGAAGAUAAUGACAUAUGAGCAAUGUGUUUAGAAUGAAAACAUUCUUGACUAAACAAAAUAUUCCUAGUUUUAUUACAAACAUGGGUUUAGAAAACUUGACUAUAAUUACCUUCUUUUUUUUGACAUUUCCAUGUAAGAAUGCUGUUGUAGAUUAGGUCAAAAUAUGACCAUAUUUGGGAAGUAAAAUUGGAAAUUUUAAUAGUCAAGUUUUGAUAGGUAAACAUAGUUACAUGCUAAAGACAUUGUCCAUUUGUUAUUGAAUUUUUACAAGUCCGAAUACAUUUAUAGUCUUUACUUUAAUUUGGUUGUUAAGCUAAUUUUAAAUAUUGAUAUUGUUUAAAGGAUAUUAAAUUAGUAAAAUAUUUUUGGAUUCUAGUAUGACAACAAAGUUUGUUAUUUUGGGAUGACAAAGCAUGAUAAAGCUUGUGUUUUCCUGCUUUUGCUAAUGUUAAUGGCAUGGUAAUGUUCAGGACAUUUUAUAUUUUGAAUACAUUUUACUAUAUUGUCUUCAUUUCAACAAGAGGCUAUGGCUUCUUAUCUUCCUCAUUUUGAAUAAGUUUUUUAUAAGCUAGUAGUCUUGUCCAUUCUACUUCAAAAGCAGUUCUAAAUUGGUGACACAUGAGGUGAGUUUUUAUUCUGUUUUCUAUUCAAAAUAAAUUUUUUUAUUUAGGCUUUUCUAGAUGUUUGCACUCAAUGAAAUUACUUCAACAAUCCGGAAUAUCAAAAAUUAAAUUGGUAUAAUUAGACUCUUGUUUAAUAAAUUGAUUGCACCAUUUUGGAGAUGCCACAACAAAACCGCAUUGGAGACAUUUUGAAUGGUAAGUGAAUAUGUUACAACAAAACCACAUUUAGUAAAUCCCUGAAUAUUUUACAUGUGUAUCCAACAUGAAAAACAAGAAUUUAUAUAAUAGUACUUUUUGAAUAAAAUAGAAGGAGCCCUUACCAAUGUAUAAUAGUUGCUUGCUUAUUCAAAUAUGUGAUAAAUUUGAAUAAGUUAUUUUUCAUAUACACUAGUUUAAGACAUGUAUAUAGCCUUAUCACUCUGUAACCCUAAAUAGUUGAAGAAUUGUCAUUCCACAUAGUUGUUGUAGGCUUGAGUAACAACAACUUAAGCAAGGACAUACAAUUCUAUUAGGAUUUUCAGCAUUCUCAAUUGCAAACCUAACAAAUGAUUUCACUCAUUCCUCAUAUCCCUUCGUCAAUCGAUUGACACUCAUCUAUUUUCGAUCCAUUUUCUAUUAAAAAAAUAUAUAAUGAGAAUAAAUCACUUAAGCUAAAGCUUGGAGUUAAGCUCACCAAGCAGAGCAAAUACAUUAUUAUGUAAUUAAAGUGAAAGCGGUCGGAAACCCAACUCAAUACAAGCUAAAUGAGUGAAAUCACUUUCACUCAUUUAUAGGGAAAAUAUUUAUAAGUCAAUACAUAAAUAUAAUGUUAUUAAAAAGGGAAAUCAAUUUAAGGAAAAAUCACUUUCAAUUCAGCGUUCAAUGCGUGAAAGCUGAUUUUGAGGUUAAACGAGUGAAGGAUUUUCGAUACCGGCGAAGAAGGGAUUUGGCAUUGAAUGAGUGAAUGAUAUUCGAAAUUUGGUGUUGAAUGAUAAUGAGAUUGAAUAAUUGUCGAUGUCGAUUUUGAGAGUAAAUGAAUUUCGCUGUUGAGUAAAUGAGUGUUGGGAUAGCUAAAUGUUUGAGAAUAUUAUGGGAACAAUUUAAUUUUUUAGGAUCUGAUAGCAUAUUCAAUAGUGCAUAUUGAACAUAGGGCUGUCGAUGAUACCUAAUCAAUAGUGCCACCUAAAAAUAGCGUUAUGGAAGAACUACCCAUUUAAAUAUAAAGAAGGUAAGUAUUCAAUAGUGCUUUUAUACGAAUGCACUUUUGAAUUAAACGUAAUCAACAAUGCAUUGUUAAAGAAGCAUUGUUGUAUAGUUAUAACAACAACGCAUUCAUAAAAAAAUGUUAGGGACGAACUCCCCACUCAAAUAUAAAGAAGUUAAGUAUUCAAUAGUGCUUUUCUACGAAUGCAUUGUUGAAUUAAAUAUAAUCAACAACACAUUGUUAAAAACGAUGUUAUAUAGGUAUAACAACAACGCAUUCGUAGAAAAGCAUUGUUGAAGACCAUUAUUCCUAAUUCUACACAUAGCACACAACAUAAAAUAAGCUGAAUGCAUACAGAAACAUAAUCAAACAACAAACUGAAUGGAUACAGACAUACCAAAUCACAUUUAUAUGAAAAUAAUUGAAUUUAUAUAUUGAACAUUAAUUACACUUUAAUGUUACAUAAAUAUAUAUUACAUACACCAAGUCAUAUACAUUACAUUGAACAUUAAUUGAAUUUCCCAAGCUACAAUCUGUGCAAAAAAUCUACUAUACCUAAUUGCCAACACAACUAAGUAUAGACUUUGACCAAUGUUCUCUAAUCUGGUUGACUUGACCAUCUAUAUAUGAUUUGCCAACAAACUUGAUUUCAUUAGUUGGACAUUGCUGAAUGAUCUCCUUCGUAAAAUUCAGCACGUAAUAGCUGAAAUCUACCUCGUUUUUUUGGCAAGGGGUCUACAAUUAAAAUGAAGUAAAUAUAUAAGUAUAACCUUAGUUAAAAUAUGAAUACACUACACAUAUAAUUGUUUGGCAUGAUUUGUGCCUAUACCUUUAUAUGAGUCCACUUGAUUUUGUGUUGUGGUAUCGUUUUUCUAGAACGAUUAAAGCCUCUAAAAACUCUCGCCACACUAAACAAUAGAAAAUGUACUUAAUUACGAAACAACUAGGAAAGCGAAAGUGUAACUAAAAGUUUAAAUGAGUAGUUCACUUACUUAGAAAACAAUUCUUUCAUAGCGUGGUACUUGUCCGGAUCACCAUGUGCCAAUGAGUCAAAGUUGUAUAUUUCUUCAUUGACCCGAUUGAUGGCAACCAAAAUCCAAUGAAGUCUAAAAAAACAUAUGUACAUGGUUAGGAAAUGUUAAGAACAACAAACAUACUAAAGAUAGAAAUAUAAAAGACAAUUAAAAAAUGCUCGCCCGAUAUUAAAAGGUGUAAGAAAUAAAUUUGUAGCUUCUUUAUGAAUGAGGAGAGUAUCUGCAAUUUGUUUUGUCUAUUCCCCAAUCUUAUUUUUGUCACUGGACACCAAAGCGGUAAUGUAUGGGGAUAUGCACAUCACAUUUUUCUUAUUUACCGAAACAACAUUUUCAUACAAGUACCUAAUAUAUAUAACACAAAUGUUAGUUAAUUAUAACACACCGCCAUGCAAAAACGAUAAGUUAAGAAAACAUAACUUACCUCAUAUAUACACAUAUAGUAGUUGCACCUAUCCAUUCAUGAUUAUUUACAUCCUCGACUACAUUGAUGCUAACGUAUUCUUCAGCAUCAAUCUCGAAGACUUCCUUGGGAAUUGAUAUAGUUAUUAUAUCAUCUCCCAACUUCUAUACAUGCUCAAACACCUGAGUACAAUAAUUGGUAGUCUUCUUUGAGCUCACAUCUCCGGUAGAUGGGAUCUAGCUCACAUCCCUCAAAGAUGGCUUGGUCUUUUGGGUGCUACUAGGGUAGAAUGUACAUUUUCCUGAAAUAUUUAAUAAAAACCAUAUCAAUUAUAGAUGAAUAUAUACAUAUAUAUAUAUAUAUNNNNNNNNNNNNNNNNNNNNNNNNNNNNNNNNNNNNNNNNNNNNNNNNNNNNNNNNNNNNNNNNNNNNNNNNNNNNNNNNNNNNNNNNNNNNNNNNNNNNUAUAUAUAUAUAUAUAUAUAUAAUAUGAGUGAGCAUAAGGUGAAAAAUCAUACCUUUUAAGGAAUUACUUGUACAAGGUCUUCAGGCUAAGCCACAAAAGUGUCUAUAGCCCCUCCAACUAUGAAGAUAUCCUCAUCGAGAGGAAUUGACAGCAACACAUCAUCAUCUAUUGCAACAUCAAUCGAGACCUUCACAUAAUUGCAUGGAAUAUGUGCAUUAUGCAGCAUAGAAUCAAUCGACUUGUGCAUUUUCCCCACACCCACUACUCGGCUAGUUGGGGUAUCCAGGUAAAGUUUGCAAGAACUGAUUCCCUAUACGUAAGUUAAAACAUAUAAUUAGUUAACGACUAAAAACUAAAUGUCAAAUAAAUUAAAAUAAGUUAACUAAACUACCUCAGAAAUGGGAAUCGGGAUGAGAAUGUUGUAAGGUGAAGGUGAAAUGAGAAUAUUGUCAGGUGAAUGUGUGCAAAUCUCAUUGAUGGUUGCAAGAACAAUGCCAACAACACUAGCUAGUCGUUGCCACUCAGCUUCCUUUACCUUCAUUGAUUGCUCAAAUUCAUUGAAUCAUUGCAUGAGGCCAUCCAAUUGAUUUUGAACCUGGCUCAUUUGGGCUUUGGUUGCACGCUUGGGAUGAGUUAUAAAUGUUUGCUGGCUAACCCCAAAUCAUGCACCUCAAAUACGGCCAGGGUAAAUAGGUAGUCCUAGUGCCUUAUCAAGUAUUAUGCGACUAUUCGACCAUGCCUUGUUUUCUUUUAGGGCAAUCUCACAAAUAUAGAAAAACUUAAUGUUAUUUAAUCACAUUUUGAUAAAUAAAUUAUGGAAAUUAAGUAUAACUAAAAAAUGAGCACUUACAACAUGUCUUACCGCUUCUUGAACUUGAUCAUUAUCGAUGACACCAUCCUUGUUCUUACGGGCAUCUAUCCAUAGAACAUCGAGUUCUACUAUAUGUGGAGUCAUAGUUGUAUUUCUUUUGUUGUUCAACUACCAAAACAUAACCAAUAAUAAUAUAAUUAGAUAUAUAUGCAUACAAAACAAAAUCAUUAAUAUACUUACAGAUUAACAAUACUUAUAAUGAUUUCCUCAAUAACUUCAUACCUCGCUCGAGAAGCUCGAUAUGGAUACAAAGGCUUAGAUGCCCUCUUGCAAUUUUUAUUACUUAAUUUCUGAAACAAAAAUCAUAUAUGUAUAUACAAAAGUCAAUACAAAGAAUAUGAUUUUAUCAAGAAAGACUUGUCUUGUGUACGUAGGGUGACAAAAGUCUUCCAAUCAUCUUCUUCAACGAUAUUUGCUUAUUUUGUCCGAGGUUUCAGGUUGACAUUGCCAUCAGCAUCUGUAAGUAAAGUAAUUUUCUAGCAUCAUUUCGGAAUUGUCGGAGAGUCUUGCAAGCCGAUUUAAGGAUAUAAUCGUUAUGCUCCUCACCAACAUCAAAAGUUGACUGAAAACACAUAUACAUUAACUAUAUUGCAUACAAACACAUGUAUAUACGUACAUUGCAUGAAAACAUAUACAUACAUUGCAUGAAAACACAAAAACUGAAAAAGAAACUUACUCUUAUUUCAUUCCAAAUAUGCUCCUUCACGACAUUCCCUACAUCAGUCCAUUUGUUGAAUGUUAGCUUCACAUUCUGCCUAACCACAACCCCUAUGUAGUCUACCAAUGAGUUGCCAACCUCUGAGUUUAAUGGUUGGCCUUUUGAGUUUCAUUGAACUUCUAUCUUCACAUCCUUAUUUCUUGCCCGAAUGACAUUCUUCAUGGAAGUCAUUCCACGUGCAGUUCAUUUUUUAGCAAUGAUUUGCUUGUCUUGUAGAGUCGAUGUAGCUUCGUCACCAUUGUGAGAACCAUGAUCGCCACUUUGGGAAGCCAUUGAUGAAGAUUUUUUAGGUUUAUGUGAGUAUGAGGAUUUCUUUUCGAUUAAGUUUGAGAACAUAGAGGGAACUGAUUCAUCUUUUAGAUAUUUAAACUGUAGUAACAAUUCAACAGCGUAUAUUAAAGAUAGCACUGUUGUAUUGCAUCUUCAAUAACACAUAUUAACGAUAGCAUUGUUUUACUGACAUCUUCAACAACGCUUCUUAAGGGUUGCACUGUUGUUGUGUAUCCAGUUGAUUACUACUGAUUUUCAUAAACACAUCAACAAUGCUUCCUGGAUGAUGCAUUGUUGGAUAUAAUCUAAUUGACAUGGCUAUCUCAACUAUGCACUAUUGAAUAUAAUCUACUUGACAUCACUAUCUUAACUAUGCGCUUUUGAAUAAAAUCUAAUUGAUAGCACUAUCUUAAUUAUGUGUUAUUAAACUUAACUCAUUUUCCAAAUUAACAGCGUAUUCGUAAUUAUACCCUGUUAAAAUUACAUUUUAUAUUACGGGUCAAAAUAUAUACAACAUGGAUAUACGUUAAUUAACAUAAAGUUACGAUGAAGUAGAUUAUCGUACUAUUGUGUUUAUUAAUAAGAAACUGCAAAAUUAUUAAACAUUAAGUUUUGUUCAUUUGUUUUUUUGUGUUUAUUAUGUUUUGUUAUUUUUUAUUGUGUUUAUUAACAUGAAACUGCAAAAAUAAAAAAUAAAAUAACCAUUCAAAUAAAUAACAAAAAAAAAAGAAAUUAACAUCUAAAAUAAAUGUUCAUUUUUCAUUCAAAGAGGCAAAAUACUUUAUAAAGAACUAAACGAUUUGGUAGAUUACAAUGAACCGAGUGAAGAAAAUCAAUGAAAUAAAUAAUCUCCAGAUUAAAUCUUCAUCUCGCGGAAAUCUUGUAUAACAACCACUUCCCUUCUGAAAUCAAGGUCGAAAUUGAAAAUCAAAAGAUGUUAAAGACAUCCUUGACAAGAUUUCAAUGAAGGAAAUUAAUGACCUGAAUGAAUGAAGAAAAUCAAUGAACUAAAUAUUUUACAACUUAAUUCUUUAUCUCACACAAAUCUUGUAUAACAAUCACUUUAAUUUCCUUAUAAAAUCUUGAUUUGGUAUAUUACAAUGAAGGAAAUAAAUGAACUGAAAGAUUUGGUAGAUGAAUGAACUAAAUAAUCUACAGAUUCAAUCUUCAUCUAACACAAAUAUUGUAUAACAACCACUUUCCUUUUGAAAUUUAGGUCCUUUUUCCAAAUCAUAACAUGUUAAAUACCUCCUUGACAUGAGUUUGAAACAGAAACACAAGUUUAUCACUUUUAACACUUCAAGUUGUUGAGAUCUGUUCUCUGCUAUCUUCAUGAACAUACUCCUAGAGAAACACAUAUUCUUGCUGAUGAAAUAGAAUGUGGAGUGAACCACAAUAUUUAUAGAGUAGCAACCAUUAAUAAUUCAACAAACAAAGAGAGCCUAACCACUCAACAUUAAUAUUUCAACAAUGAAGAGAUGCAGAACCACUCAACCAUUAAUAUUUCAACAAAAGAAGAGAUGCAUAACCACUCAACCAUUAAUAUCUCUGACACUUAAAAAUUCGUAUAAAAUCAACAUCGCAUAAUUAAGAAAGCAUUAUUAUUAUGUUAUCUUCUACAACGGUUUCUUAUUUAUGCGCUACGGAAUUUAUUAACAUUAACAUCGCUUUCUAUCAAAUACGUUGUUAAACAUAACUCAUUCAAGCCAACGCAAACGUUAAUGAUGUUCAACAACAUUGUGUCAAGAAUGCGUUAUUGAAGUUACACACAUUGACAACACUUGCUUUAAUAUGCGUUGCUGAAGUUCUUCUUCCUCGUUUUCAACAGCGUCGUUCAAAAUUAUAUUGUUGAAUGACCAUUUUUUAUGACGAUAUCUGGCAUAGUGAUGGGUCAUAGUUAGGGAUGACAAUGGGUAUGUGUGGGCUCAGAUAGUGCAUUGCUUAGAUCUCCUUCGUUCACUCAAUUUUGCCCUGGAACCGCAUGGAUAACCGUUUGGUCUCCUGAUUAUGGAUCCUUGGGUAUCCAGCGGAUCCAUGAGUAUCUAGAAAUUCACAGCGACUUAGGUGGAGAUAAUAGUUAUGAUCGACGACAACUUAGACAAAGACCAUUCUCGAUGGUGGUUUGGGCUCUAGGGAGAAGUUUGUGACCAUGAAUCCUUGAUAGAGACAAUGAGAAGGAUGGAGUGAGUGUGCGAGACUGCAUGAGCGUGUGUCUGUGAGUCCAUAGUAGAAACUGAGAGAGGAUGGUUGGAGUAUCAAACUCAAAUAGUGGGAGCAUGGGAGAUAAGUAGUGAGAAUGAAGAGACUGGAUUGAGACUAUGAGAGUCACUAUGAGUUUGUGGUUGUGUUUUAGUAUGUUAUUGUUCAUGAUUUUUCUUUUUAGGUUUUGGAAGCUAUUGAGGAAUUAAAUAUUUAAAUUUAUGGGUCAGGGAACCAUGUGGGUACCAUAUUACUGGAUUUAUCUUGUUCAGUAGUAGCUUUAAAUAAUCCCUGGCCCCAAUUAUCCAGGGUUCAAAAAUCACUAAUCUGGACCAGAUCCAUUGCAGAUAUUACCCAAUGGUUCCUGCGUGUUUGGGUACCCAUUAUCAUCCUUUGUCAUGAUACAUUUCUUUGGAUAGUGAAGUGAGUUUUCCAAUUUUUGGGCAAUAGAAAGUUAGGCUCAAAAAUCUAAAGGGAAUGAAGUAGGGUUUUACUCGUUAUAAGAUUGGUUUGACUUUCCAUAUACUAAGUAGCAACUUGCAAUGUUUUAAUAAGCUGAUAGUCAUUGAAUAUGUGAAAGCAUUAGUUCAUAGUUUGUGACUUUGAUUCUUAUUGCUGGUGUGACCACCUCGUUUGCAUGUACUUUAUAAAGAGUUAUAUAGUCGUUAGGCCUAUGUUGAACCUAGUGAGUCCUCGUGACUCAAUCCAUACAAAAUUAUGCAAAUGCAAUGUGAUGUUGAUUGCAAAAAGGUUACAGGAGGCUACUUCUUGGUUAGUCAAGAUUUGCAUAUGAACUCUAAAGUAGUUAUAUAAAUAUGGAAGUACAAUGGUUUAAGUAGACACAAUUAGAUUGAAUCUCUUAUUCUAGGCUACAACAAGGAUGAGUGAGGACAUUGGAUCUACAUGAGUUGACUGUCAUAGGAUGUUUUAUUUACAAUGAUGACAUACCUAUUCAUGAUGUUGGAGUGGGGUGGUAGGACGAUAAUUGAUGGAGAAAGUGGUGGCCAACUUGGUAAGGGUCCAAUGUUCACUCUAUCUUAUUUGAUGUGCUAAAAACCUAGUCAAGAUUUGACAACAUGAAUGGAAAAAUAAAGAUAACUGGAAAUUCUAUGCAAGCAGAACCCACACAACUUUACAAUAUUAAAAUAUGAUUGUUAAAUUAACAAUUGAGAUUCGAUAAUGAUACAAAUAAAUAGAUUUGACGGCCGCACAUAGAAAAAUAAAAAAGCACAUGAAUUAAAUAAAAUUUUUGUAUACAUAUUCAAAGUCCCACACCGUCUAAGAUUAAAUUUUUAAUCCUCUUAUUUACAUAUAAAUAGACCCUUAAUGCUACUAAUCAAAAUGCACAUGUGUGCUAAAGGAGAAACUUUGGUGCAUGGAACAACAUAAUGAGGUCGAAGAAUAAGGUAACUUCUUUUACUUAAUCUAUUUAAUUUUUUUCCUUUUCUAUGCUUAUAUUUAUAUUUAUGUUCAUUGAUUUUAUAUAAAAGAUGUGGGAAUAAGAUAAUAAAUAUUUUAUGAAUUUUGCAAUGCAUUUUCUCUUCAUAGUUGAUGAUAUUUUUUCUUCCUUUUCAUUAUAAUUAUUAUCUAAGCUUUUCGAGAAACUUAUUUCUAUCACUUUAUUUUAAAGUUUAUAAUAUCCAUGUUUCUUCGUUAGUGUUAGAUCUUCCUCACUCUUAUAUAUUUUACAAUUUUGUUUUCAUUUCAUCAUAACUCCCUAUCAACUUAUGUUACAUUUUUGGUCUGGUGGGUUAUCUACUAAAAUGUGUGAGAAGAAGUUCUGUAUUGAAGACGCUAGGUUCUAAUUCUUCCUUCAAAAUAAUUUACAAUCAUAUUUGUAUUCCAUUUUAAGCAAAAAAAAUUUGAUUUUUUGUUGUUGAUAGGUUGAUCAUUGUGAGGUUGAAUCUCAUAAAAAGUUCUAUCCAGAUUUUUUCUCAUCAUAGGGAUAAGGAAUGAGGUGUAUGACUAUCACUCUCAGGAAACAGCUUCUUAUAUUUUGAUAAGCUCUAUCCAGUUAAGUCAGAGGAACUAUGAGGUAUAAAUAUUAUAGUUGGUUAUAUUCAUAUAACGAGACUCAAGUGGUUAUAAUUAUGUUCUUAUUUUAUAAAGCAUUGAUUGCAACAUUUUGGAGAUGCCACGACAAAACCACAUUUCAUACAAUUUGAAUGUUAAGUAAAUAUGUUACAACAAAACCAUAAUAUGUAAGUCAAUGAAUAUUUUACAUUUGUAUGCAACACGAAGAACAAGAAUUUAUAUUAUAGUACUUUUUGAAGAAAAUAGGAGGAGCCCUUACCAUUAUUUAAUAGUUUGCUUGCUUAUACAAAUGUGUGAUAAAUUUGAAUAAGUUAUUUUUUAUAUACACUACUUUAAGACAUGUAUAUAGCCUUAUCACUCUAUAACCCUAAAUAGUUGUAGAAGUGUCAUUUCAUAUAGUUCUUGAAAUACACCUAGAAAGACUCUACCUUGUUUUGUCAUCCCAAAACUGGCUAACUUUAAAGUCAACUUGAAAUCCACCAUCAUUUUUGCUCAUUAAUUGUCUUCGAACAAAAUCCACUAAACAUAGAAAAUUACUUUGACGAUGAUAUUAAAGGUAAAAAAUAUUGUAUAAAUAGAACAUGUAAGAAGAUAAUGACAUAUGGGCAAUAUCUUUAUAAUGAAAAUAUGUUUGACUAAACAAAAUAUUCCUAAUUUUAUUACAAACACGGGUUUAUAAAACUUGACUAUAAUUACUUUUUGGUUUUCACAUUUCCAUGUAAGAUUGUUGUUGUAGAUUACGUCAAAAUAUGACCAUAUUAGGGAAGAAACAUUGGAAAUUUUAAUAGACAAAUUUUGAUAGGCAUAAAUACUUACAUGCUAAAGACAUUGUCCGUUUGUGAUUUAAUUUUUACAAAUCUGAAUACAUUUGCAGUCUUUACUUUAACUUUGUUGUUUAGCUAAUUUUAAUUAUUGGAUUUUGUUUAAGGGACAUUAUAUUUGUAAAUAUUUUUGGAUUCUAAUAUGAAAACAAAGUUAACUAUUUUCGGAUGACAAAUCAUGAUAAAGCUUAUAUUUUCAUGAUUGUGCUAAUGUUAAUGGCGGAAUAACGUUUAGGACAUUUUAUAUUUGGAAUGCAUUAAAUUUUACGUUAUUGUCUGAAUUUCAACAAGAGGCUAUGGCUUUAUCUUCCUCAUUUGGAAUAAAUUUUAGAUAUUGUUCUUCCUUUUAUCCUAUAUUCAUUGGUGUUGCAUCACUAUUGUGAGCUGAUAUAAUUACAAUGGUCACCUGAACUGCAAUAGUACGACCACAUCUCAUAAUGCAUUCCACAAUUUGAUACAAUGAAACAUAAACUAUCUAACAAAAUAGAAACUACAUCCAUCAACCCUAUAAACAUAAUUUACAUAGACGUCAUUAUUUGUAUUACAAAUGGUUGAUGACAUCCAAACUUUUUGCAUGUAAUAAGUUAGGACAUAAGAAAGGAUAGAGUUCACAAGAAUAAGUCUCCCAAUUAUGUGGUUCAUUUGAGGAUCCUUAAUCACACUGAAGUCCAAAGCUUUGGGGCAAGACAUAGAGCAACAUACUACAUCCUUCAUCGUGAAAUAUCGAUUGCUUGUUGAAUCCUGCUAAUUGGGCAAGACAUAGAGACAUAAAACGUUUCUCAAAGCGUAUAGUCUAAUUGUAGUUUAGGUUAUGGUUAGAGCUGACAAAAUUCUCCACAAUUCACAUUCAUCAAAUUCAAGAAAAUUAUACCCAUCAAUUGGAAUUAAUGGAUUUAAAUUAUAUUCAUCCAUUAUUUCUAAUGAUUAUUCAUGGAUAUAUCUAUUUUGAUGGAUAUCCAAUCCAUCCAAAAAAUAAACAUUAAAAAACAAUGUUCUUUACUUUUCAAUUUUAUUUAUCAUCUCAACUCUCACUUUCUUCUAGUGUUUCUCACUUUCACAUUGAUUUUUUUUUUUUAAAUUGAUACUAAUUAUAGGAUAUGUAGAUAAGAUUAAUAUUAAAAGUUUAUUCUUAAAUGUAUAGAAAUGUAUUAAAAGUUUAUUCUUAAAAAAUUUACAUAAACACCCUUGAAUGUCUCAUGCUUUUAAAAUACUGAAAAGAAUAAUAAUUUUUUUAAAGUUCCAAAAAUCAUGUAACCAACAUUAUGGAAUAGACGUAAGAUAGAUGAACUUCUGAUACUCGAACUCUUGCAUCAAUUAUUAAGAAAGUGGAAAACAAUGUCUCAAUCUAAAUUCAAAUAGACAAAGUUCAAUACAUGCGAGAACCACUUAAUAAAACAUCAAUUGCUCCUAACUAUAAUAAGGCCACAUAUAUUCUAUGAAGUAACGCUUCUAUUUGUACCAACAAAACUUAACACUAAUAAGUAAAAUACAAUGUAGUUAAAGUUUAAAAUAUAUAUUUUAAUGUAAUAUUAAUAAAGUGAUUUUAAAAAAUGUUUGAUUAAAAUAAUGGAUUUUUAAAAAAUGAUUUUUUUAAAAAUGUUUUUAUUUCAGUUAAAAAAUCUAAGAGAUUGGAUAUCCACCAUCCAAUCAAUUAAAACAGAUUAAUGAAUAGAUUGGAUGAAUUACAAUCCAUUCAUUAAGUUUGGAUAUGGAUGGAUUGGAUCAUUCAACAUAAUAUUUAAAUAGAUUGGUAGAUGACUUUACAUUCAUUAGGAUCCAAUUGAAUCUAUUUGUCAUCUCUAGCCAUGGUUUCGACAGUUAUGAAAUGGGAUUGGAUAGUUGAUACUCCAAAAAGAUAAUUUUAAAAGUGGAUUUCAAUCCAUAUUUAAUGUGUGACUAAAUAUAUUUGUGUGGUGGUCAUCAUGGUCGAAUCAUAUUUGAUUAUAAUAAAGGUAGCACUUGUGCAUAUGAAAAAUUUGUAAUAUAAUUGCUAGAAGAAAAUAUGAAGUCAAAUAAGAGAUUCUUAAAAAUUUAUAAUUAAUGUUUAAGCAUUAUAUAUUUUAAUAAAAUCAAAUUAGUUAUUUAUUUAUUGGAUUAUGCAAUAAGUGGUUGAAUCUUGAUAUAGAACAAUUUUCCCUUUUCCCCAUGGAAAAAACGAAAGACCCCAUCAACCCUAAAAAACAAAAGAAAGUGUGUCAAGCAUUUUGGAAAAAGUCCAAAACAAGGAGAUAAAAAAAUGAUCAUUGCAUUUACGAGAAAUUAUUACAUCGUCGGGUACUUAAUUAUGAAAAUGUGAUUAACACUAUUAGUCCAGAACACUAUAAGAUUUGUUUCCAGAUUUCUUCGAAAAGUUAAAAUUAGGUAAUGUAAUGAACUGACAGUGUAAAGUUUUUUAUAAUGUUAACACAUUAUCCACCACCAUUAAUUUGUAUUACUUUUUCUUGACAAUCAAUUGAUAAUUAAUAUAUGAAUGAUAAAUGAUUUAUUGAAAGUGUAAAAAACAUUUACACUGUCAGUAUAUACAUAUUAAAUCCAUAUGCUAUUUUUUUCCAAAAUGCUUUUGUAAUAUUUAUACUCUAAAAUGUUCAACUUAAAAUGCAAAUAAGAUAAUAUAUUCAUUGUUGCAAAAAUGAGAAUGUUGCAUUUGUUGAGUAGAUGUAUUAGACAAGAUAUGAUUAUGAAUAUAUUAGAGAGAAAAUUAGGUAGCUCCUAUUGUAGAAAAGAUCAUAGAAUCACACCUUAAGUAGUUUGAGCAUGUAUGGAAGAGACCAUUAGAAGUCCCAAUAAAGAGAGUAAAUCAAAAGUGGUUAGUCUUAGUUACAAGUGUAGAUCAAUAGAACGCCUGUACAAUUUCUAGAGAUAUAGGGCAGUCAAAGUCAAGAAAAACUAUAGGUGAAAUAAUUAGAAAAAUGUUAAAAAUCAAUGUUUUGUUAAUGAACAUAAUUUAUGAUAGAAUAUUAUUGCGUCAUUCGAUCUAUGUGUAGACCUCACUUAAUUAUUCCAUGGUGGAAACUACGCGAUUCCAUCUCACAUACUUAACAUUGCAAGUAUGCACUUUGGUUAACUUUUAACACUGAUUUCUAAGGGUAGGGACUAACCUCGGUCAUAGCUAGGGAUGACAAUGAGUCUGUAUGGGCCCGGAUAGUGCACUACUCAGAUCUGCCUCAUUCACCCGAUUUUGUCUUGGACCCGCAUGAAUAACUGUUUGUUCUGCUAACUGCAGGUCCUUUGAUAUCCAGUGGAUCCAUGAGUAUCUAUUAAUUCAUACUGACUUAGGUGAAGAUAACAGUUAUGGUUGACGACGACUUAGACAAACAACCACUCUUUAUGGUGGUUUGGGCUCUAGGUAGAAGUUCGUAACCAUGAAUCCUUGACAGUGAUGGUGAGAAGGAUGGAGCGAGAGUGCGAGACUACAUGAGUGUGUGUUUGUGAGUCCAUGGCAGAGACUGAGAGAGGAUGGUUGGAGUGUUAGAAAGUGGGAGCAUAUGAGCGAGGUAGUGAGAACUAGGGAUGACAAUGAAAAUCGAACCUGUGGGUACCCACCCAAACCGAACCCGAAAUUAACGGGGAAAAUCCGAUGUGAUUGGGUUCGGGUUUUACCCGAGUUUAAUUUUCGGGUUCGGUAGAACAAAGACCAUAACCCAAACCUGUCCCGAAGUAAUGUAAUUCAAUUUAAAAUUGAAAUUUCUAUCAUGUGUCCAUGGUUUUUAAUUUUACUUUACAUACUAUUGGAUCUUCAAACAUAAAAGAAAUGAAAUAAUACAAGAGAAAUAGAAAUGCUAGAGAAAAAUGAAACGAAAAUGAUAUCAUACUUUCCGUAGUAUAUAUAUAAUUUUCGGGUUACCCAAAACCCGACGGGUUCGGGGAUGAUAUCUUUAUUUUCAAUCCCGUUGAGUUCGGAUUCGAGUUUUGAAUUUCGGGUUUCGGUAUGUGCAAACCCGACCCCGACCCCCCCGCCAUUCCUAGUGAGAAUAUAGAGACUAAAAUGAGACAAUAAGAGUCACUAUGAAUUUGUGGUUGUGUGUUAGUAUGUUAGUGUUCAAGAUUUUCCUAUUUAGGUUUUAGAAGCUAUUUAGGAAUUAAAUAUUUAAUUUUACGGGUCAAGGUACUCGCGGGUGUGGGUACCAUAUUACUGGAUCUAUCCCAUUCACUAGUAGCAUUAAAUAAUCCAUGGCCCCUAUUAUCCAUGGGAUCAAAAUCACCAAUCCAUACUAGAUCUAUUUCAAAUAUUACCCAAGCGUUCCUAUGUGCCUGGAUACCCAUUGUCCUUUUUUGUUAUGAUACACUUCUUUGGAUACUAAAGUGAGUUUUGAAAUUUUUUGGGAAAUAUAAAGGCAGGCACAAAAAUCUAAAAGGAAUGAAGUAGGUAUUUACUCGUUAUAAAAUUGGUUGGAUUUUCCAUAUACUUAGUAGCAACUUGCAAUGUUUUAAUAAACGAAUAGUCAUUGAAUAUGUGAAAGUAGUAGUUCAUAGUUUAUGGUUCGACCAUUGGUUCAAUUGGUAAGUAUUCAACUCAUGGUCCACAUGAUUGUGACUUUGAUUCUUAGUGAUGGUGUGACAAUCUCGUUGGUAGGUACUUUAUACAUUGUCAUUGACUCAUUAGGCUUAUGCUGAACUCAGUGAGUCCUCGUGACUCAACUCACACAAUGUUAAGCAAAUGCAAAGUGACGUUGAUUGCAAAAAGGUUUCGGGAGGCUACUUCUUGGAUAUUCGAGAUUUGCAUAGGAAAUCUAAAUAGUUCUAUAAAUAUGGAAGUACAAUGUUAUAAGUAGACUGUUGAAAGCGUUAUUCGUUGGUUAUUUUAGUUGGGAGUUUUCUUCUCUCAAAAAAUAGUCCUGAAAGUAGUGUCAAUUUGUUGAAAGAUUAAUACUCUCAUUUUCGUUAUGUUCCUUUUGUAAGUAAGAGAACUCGGUUUUAUUCUUUGUUCGCCAUCUCGGCUUUGUUAGAAUAAAUUCCAACGCCGGGAUAAUGGUUUCAAGAAUAUUCCAGUUACAACUUACUUUCUUAAUAAUCNNNNNNNNNNNNNNNNNNNNNNNNNNNNNNNNNNNNNNNNNNNNNNNNNNNNNNNNNNNNNNNNNNNNNNNNNNNNNNNNNNNNNNNNNNNNNNNNNNNNUACUCCCUUUCGGGUUCAUUUUAUUAACAAACCAAACUUCUUCCUUAAGGAAGGUUGGUAUUAAAGAAUAUAAUGUGGAAAGUAAAUAACAAUAAAUAAAAGUUAGUAAGUUAGUUUCAUCACUUUUGUAUAUUAAAAGGUGUUUUCAACAAAUAAAUUUAUUGAUAAUAUUUUACUAUUUUAUAAUUUACACCUCUUUCAAGAUUCAAUUCUAGUAUCGUAUAGGAUUAUGUCGAACCAUAAGGAAUUGCCUAAUAAAAUAAAUCAUAUAAAUAUGUCAAUGCACAAAUAAUGGAGUUGAACAUAUUUUGAUUGGUUUUUGUAUAAAGUGAAUAUCAACAAGUAAACAAUGAACAUAAAACUAGAUAUUACCAAAUGCUUGAGGAGACAAGAUCAUUUUGAAUAAGGAAAAUAUAUUUCUCAACUUCUUGUGUGUUUGAACUACUUAGACAAGUUCUUAUGUUUUACUUUGGUUAACCCCAAACACCAAGGUCUGAAAUCCUCCUUUUAGUGUAAAUCCUAAAAUGGUAGAAUGAUAAACACUUAUAUUCAUUACUUAAGCAAUACUACAACCAUAUAAGAGAUUAGGUUGUCACACCCUAACCAUUGGAGACUCUAAUAUUGAAUGAGUGAUGAAUGUAAGAUCUUAAGAAAAACAUGCUUAACUUGGAAAAUAAACUAAGUAGUACAACUACUCCUUAGUUUAUUUGUUAAGUGUUUGAGACAAGUAAUUUUAUUGACUUGAAAUCAUUUUUUAGGUGAUCAAUCUAAAAAGAGCGUUAAGUACUUCUCAAACAAAUAAUAUUAACCAAAGCACCAACUUGAAUGAUUAAAAUCCAAACUUUUGUAAAUUAAGAAGAAGUAGAAAUUACAUAACCUUAUUCAAAAGAAAAUGUUUAGGAGCAUGAGCUAUCCAUCCAAGGAUUGGAUGCUUUUGAGUUCCANNNNNNNNNNNNNNNNNNNNNNNNNNNNNNNNNNNNNNNNNNNNNNNNNNNNNNNNNNNNNNNNNNNNNNNNNNNNNNNNNNNNNNNNNNNNNNNNNNNNGUGUUGGAUGCUCAGCUGCCUUGUUUGGCAGCUAAGUUGCUCACCUUUGGCCCCUAUGAAGAGCCACUUUGGCCCCUACUUGACCCCUAUGGUGGGCUAGGUUACAUGCAUGGUGACACCUCCUCCUUCUUGUCAUAGCCUUAUGUCAUCCAUGAGGUCAUGUUCUUGGCCUUUAAGCAAAGAAAAAGUAAGAUGUUCCAUGAUUUGACCAAAAAAUCACUUUGCUGGUGCGCCAGCCGCUUAGCCCACUUGUUUCCCCGCUAAGCUGCCUGUUUCAGCAGCUUGGCUGACCUGGUUCCCCGCUCAGCUACAUGUUUCAGCCGCUCAGCUGACUAGUUCCACGCUCAGCUGCCUGUUUCAGCAGCAUAGCUGACCUGGCCUGGUGCUUGGUGCUGUCUGACCUGGCUUGGUGCUUGGUGACUGCCUGACCUGGCCUGGUGCUUGAUGCCUGGCUGACCUGACCUGGUGCUUGGUGUCUGGCUGACCUAGCGUAUAGUGAUUGGUGCAUGGCUGACCUGGCCUAGUGUUUGGUGCAUGGCUGACUUGGCCUGGUGCUUGGUGCUUGGCUUGGCUUGACAGCUUUGUGCCUGAUUUCUUCAUGGUGAAGCAACCUUUUUUCCUUUGGUUUGUUAUUUGAUUUUUGUUGGUUCCUUGGCACUUUUGGGAUGUUUUCUUUAAGUUAAGGAAAGCAUUUGAUUUUUGCAAGUUGUCUUGCCUACCUUAACAUAGGUUUCUUCAAGAUGAAGUAAGCUACCUUAACAUAGGUUUCUACAUUAGUUGACAAUUAUGGUGGAGAAAAUGUUAAAGCAUAGUGAUAAUAAAAUAUGAUGACAUACCUAUUCUACUUAUGGGGUGUUUUAUUUACUAUGUUGACAUGCCUAUUCAUGGUGUUGGAAUGGGUGGUAGGAAGACAAUUGGCGGAGAAAGUGGUGGUCGACUAGGUAAGGGCCCAAAGUUCACUUUAUCUUAUUUGAUGGACUAAAAAUCUUUGCGAAGUUUUGACAACAUGAAUGAAAACAAAAAGAAAGACUAGCAAUGCUAUGCAAGCAUAACCCAUUCAACUUUACAAUAUUGAAAUAUGAUUGCUAAAUUAACAAUCUAUAUUCCAUAAUGAUACAAAUAAAUAGAUCCAAUCGCUGUACAUAGAAAAAUAAAAGAGGAUAUCAAUGAGAUAAAAGUUUUGUAUACAUAUUCAAAGUCCCACACCGUCUAAGAUUGAAUUUUUAAUUCUCUUACUACAUAUAAAUAGACCCUCAAUGCUACUAAUCAAAAUGCACUUGUGUGCCAAAGGAGCAACUUUGGUGGCAUGGAACAAAACAUUUAGGUCGAAGAAUAAAGUAACUUCUUUUCCUUAUUCUAUUUAAUUUUUUCCUUUUAUUAGCUUAGAUUUAUAUUUAUGUUUGUUGAUUUUGUAUAAACAUGUGGGUAUUAGAUAAUGAAUAUUUUAUGAAUUCUGUAUCGCCUUUUCUCUUCCUAUUUUAUGAAUUUUCGUAUUGCCUUUUGUCUUCCUAUUUUAUGAAUUUGCAUAUUGCCUUUUUUCUUCAUCUUUUAUCAUUUGUUUUCUUACUUUUUCCUUAUAAUUUAUUAUCUAAGCUUCUCGAGAAACUUCUUUCUAUUACUUUUUUUAAUGUUUAUAAUAGCCAUGUUCUUCAUUAGUGCUCUAGAUCUAUUUUAGAAAUUUGUUUUCAUUUCAACAUAACUUCAUAUGUACUUAUGUUACAUUUUUGGUCUGGUGGGUUCUCGACUGAAAUCUGUGAAACGUUCUGUAUUGAAGAUAUGUUAUAGGUUAUAAUUUUUCCUUCGGAAUACUUUACAAUCAUAUUUGUAUUUAAUUUUAUGCUAAAAUUAUUUGAGUUUUAGUUUUGAUAGGUUGAUCAAUGUGAGGUUUAAUCUAAAAAAAAGUUCUAUCCAUAUUUUUUCUAACCUUAUGAAUAAAGAACUAAUCCCUUUCGUGGACUAUUUCUCCCAAUAAAUGUUACUCUCAGAAGUCGAAACCUUAAGUUUUGUCCUUUUCAAGUCAAAUGAACUAUUAGAAACGAAAAUUAUGGUUGAAGAUAUGCAUAUAAUGAGAGGAACCUCAAGUGGUUGUAAUUAGAUUCUUGUUUUAUAAAGCCUUGAUUGCAGCAUUUUGGAGAUGCCACAACCACAUUGGAGAAUAUUUGAAUGAUAAGUGGAGAUGUUACAACAAAACCACAUUCGGUAAGUCCCUGAAUAUUUUACAUCUGUAUACAACAUAAAAAGAAAGAAUUUAUAUAAGAGUGAGGAUCCACUUACUCUAAGAUUUAAACUUCCUUAUCCUAGCCAUCAAUCCUAGGGAAAUCUAAUGGUUUAAAUUUACUCACAACUUCAAACCAUUAGAUUUCCCAAGAAUUGAUGGCUAAGAUAGGUUGGAGUAAGUGGAUCCCACCUCUUUAUAUAAUAGUACUUUUUGAAGAAAAUAGGAGGAGCCCUUACCAUUGUACAAUAGUUGCUUGCUUAUACAAAUAUGUGAUAAAUUUGAAUAACUUAUUUUUCAUACACACUAGUUUAAGACAUGUAUAUAGCCUUAUCCCUCUGCAUCCCUAAAUAGUUGAAGAAUUGUCAUUCCACAUAGUUCUUGAAUACACAGAUAAAGGUUCUACCUUGUUUUGCCAUCCCAAAUAUGACAAACUUUAACCUCAAAUUGGAAACCACCAUCAUUUUUUAUCAUUAAUUGUCGUUGAACAAAAUCCACUAAACACAGAGAAUUACUUUAAUGAUGAUAUUAAAGAUAAAGAAUAUUAUAUAAAUGGAACAUGUAAGAAGAUAAUGACAUAUGGACAAUGUGUUUAGAAUGAAAAUAUGCUUGACUAAACAAAAUAUUCCUAUUUUGAUUACACACAUGGGUUUUGAAAACUUGACUAUAAUUACCUUCUUUUUUUUACAUUUCCAUGUAAGAAUGCUGUUGUAGAUUAGGUCAAAAUAAGACCAUAUUUGGGAAGCAAUAUUGGAAAUUUUAAUAGUCAAGUUUUGAUAGGUAUACACAGUUACAAGCUAAAGACAUUGUCCAUUUGUUAUUGAAUUUUUACAAGUCUGAAUACAUUUAUAGUCUUUACUUUAAUUUUGUUGUUAAGCUAAUUUUAAAUAUGGGAUAUUUUUUAAGGGAUAUUAAAGUAGUAAAAUAUUUUUGGAUUCUAGUAUGACAACAAAGUUUGUUAUUUUGGGAUGACAAAGCAUGAUAAAGCUUAUAUUUUCCUGCUUGCGCUAAUGUUAAUGGCCUAAUAAUGUUUAGGACAUUUUAUAUUUGGAAUACAUUUUACUAUAUUGUCUUCAUUUCAACAAGAGGCUAUGGUUUCUUAUCUUCCUCAUUUUGAAUAAUUGUUUUAUAAGCAAGUAGUCUUGUCCAUUCUACUUCAAAAGAAGUUCUAAAUUGGUGACACAUGAGGUGAGUUUUUAUUCUGUUUUCUAUUCAAAAUAACAUUUUUUAUUCAGGCUUUUCUAGAAGUUUGCACUCAAUGAAAUUACUUCAACAAUCCGGAAUAUCAAAAAACUAAAUUAUUAUAAUUAGAUUUGUGUUUUAUAAAUUGAUUGCACAUUGGAGACAUUUUGAAUGGUAAGUGAAUUUGUUACAACAAAACCACAUUUAGUAAAUCCAUGAAUAUUUUACAUGUGUAUCCAACAUGAAAAACAAGAAUUUAUAUAAUAGUACUUUUUGAAGAAAAUAGGAGGAGCCCUUACAAUUUGUAUAAUAGUUGCUUGCUUAUACAAAUAUGUGAUAAAUUUGAAUAAGUUAUUUUUCAUAUACACUAGUUUAAGACAUGUAUAUAGCGUUAUCACUCGGUAACCCUAAAUAGUUGAAGAAUUAUCAUUCAACAUAGUUCUUGAAUACACAGAUAAAGGUUCUACCUUGUUUUGCCAUCCCAAAUCUUACAAACUUUAACCUCAAAUUGGUAUCCACCAUCAUUUUUUAUCAUUAAUUGUCGUUGAACAAAAUCCACUAAACAUAGAGAAUUACUUUAACGAUGAUAUUAAAGAUAAAGAAUAUUAUAUAAAUGGAACAUGUAAGAAGAUAAUGGCAUAUGGACAAUGUGUUUAGAAUGAAAAUAUGCUUGACUAAACAAAACAUUCCUAGUUUUGUUACAAUCAUGGGUUUUAGAAAACUUGACUAUAAUUACCUUCUUUUUUUUUUUACAUUUCCAUGUAAGAAUGCUAUUGUAGAUUAGGUCAAAAUAUGACCAUCUUUGGGAAGCAACAUUGGAAAUUUUAAUAGUCAAGUUUUGAUAGGUAUACAUAGUUACAUGCUAAAGACAUUGUCCAUUUGUUAUUGAAUUUUUACAAGUCGGAAUACAUUUAUAGUCUUUACUUUAAUUUUGUUGUUAAGCUAAUUUUAAAUAUUGGAUAUUGUUUAAGGGAUAUUAAAUUAGUAAAAUAUUUUUGGAUUCUAGUAUGACAACAAAGUUUGUUAUUUUGGGAUGACAAAGCAUGAUAAAGCUUAUAUUUUCCUGCUUGCGCUAAUGUUAAUGGCCUAAUAAUGUUUAGGACAUUUCCAAAAGAAGAAUUCAUCUCAUUCAUUCAAUAAAUUUCAAAUUACAUUGUUGAGUAUUUAUACAUUGAAGAAGAAAAAGGAAGGAAGAAAUGAAGCUGAUUCUGUUAUAACAGAAUUUGUUUUCUUGGUUAGCAAGAAAACGAAAAUGUAUCUAAUCUAGGCUAGAUGCAUCAAUGAAUGAUAAGGCUAUAACGAAUCCAGGUACAUUUAGUAUGAAUUGAAGUAAGAGUAGACUAGAUUCAUUUGUUGAUGAGUGUUGAUGAGUAGCUUAGGAAGCAAGGCACUUGUUGGUAGCUUAUCUUCCUUUGUUUUGUUGCUGGAAAGUAUAUCAAUAGCCUCCCUCAAGCUGGAGAAUAGAGAUUGAUGAUUCCCAGCUUGGCAAGAAGAUAGUGAAAAGGAUAUGGAUCCAAGGGUUUUGUGAGAAUGUUAGCCACCUGCUCAGCAGAGGGAAUAGGUAAAAGAUGGAAGAGUUUUGCCUGCGAUCGUUCUCUAACAACAUGACAAUCAAUAUCAAUGUGUUUAGUUCUCUCAUGGAACACUGAAUUAGCAGCAAUGUGUCUUGCAGAAUCAUUAUCACAAUACAAAACAGUAGGAGCAGAGAAGGAGAUGUGGAAGUUGGCAAAUAGAUAAGUGAGCCACUGAAGCUCACAAGUAGUGGCAGCCAAAGCUCUGUACUCAGCUUCUAAAGAAGAACGAGCAACAAUGGUUUGUUUCUUAGUUCUCCAUGAAAUCAGAGAGUGAUCAAGAAACACACAGUAACCAGAAAUUGAUUUCCUUGAAUCAAGGCAUGCACCCCAAUCUGAGUCACUGAAAGCUUUAAGUUGAAGAGAAGAGUUGGAGGAAUAGAAAAGUCCCUGCCCAGGAGAUCCUUUAAUAUAUCUCAAUACUCGAGUGAGAGCUUGAUGGUGCAUGAUUGUAGGAUUAGUCAAAAACUAACUUAAUUGCUGCACAGAAUAAGAUAAAUCUGGUCAUGUAUUUGUCAAAUAUAGUAGCCUACCAACCAGUCUUCUAUAGGAGACUGGAUCAACCAGUGUGUUAGAAGGAUCCUGAUGAAGUUUUGUGGCUUUGACCAUAGGGGUAGAGACUGGUUUGGAGGCAAGAAAACCAGUAUCUGAUAAUAUGUCAAGAGCAUAUUUCCUUUGACAAAGAGUUAUCCUAUCAUGAGACCUAGCAACCUCCAAGGCAAGGAAAUAUCUCAAUGUCCCCAAAUCUUUUAUUUUGAACUCAGAAUCAAGGUGAUGUUUCACAAAGGAAAUUUCCUUGAAAUCAUUUCCACCUAGGAUCAUAUCAUCAACAUAUAUAAGUAAGGCAGUGAAUUUUGAAUUGUUCUUCUUAGUGAAUAAAGAGUGAUCAUGAGUGGAUUGUUUAUAGCCAAUUGAGAUCAAAGAAGAGGAUUUUAUAGCCAAUAGAGAUGAAAGAAGAGGAAAAUUUGUUAUACCACUGCCUGCUUGCUUGUUUAAGUCCAUAAAGGGACUUAUGCAAUUAGCAGACUUGAUUUGGUUUUGAAGUGAGGACACCAUCAGGGAUAGCCAUAUACACAUCUUCUUCUAAAUCACCAUACAAAAAGGCAUUGUUCACAUCAAGUUGAUGAAGGAACCAGUUUUGAGAUGCUGCAAUGGCCAACAAUAAUCUCACAAUUGUAAGUUUGAUGACUAGUGCAAAUGUAUCAAAGAAAUCAACCCCUUCAAUUUGGUUAUAACCUUUCGCCACAAGUCUGGCUUUGUAUCUCUCUAUGCUGCCAUCUGACUUGUAUUUGAUUUUAUAAACCCAUUUGAAACCAAUGGGAACCUUGUCACUAGGCAAGUCAACUAAACUCAAAGUGUUGUUCAUUUCUAGUGCAUUUAAUUCAGCUUGCAUAGCCUUGACCUAAUGAGGAGACUUGACAGCUUGACUAUAGUGUUUAGGUUCAACAUUGGUGGUGAUGGACAAAAUAUGACUGAGACAUGGUUGUUUAAUGUUUAUAUAAGACAAAACAGAGGAUAAAGGAUGAGAAAUACCUUUCUGUGAUGAUGGAGGAGAUGAAGUGAGAAUGUUGCAGUGAAAGUCUCGAAAGUAUAUGGGAGGAUGUCUUAGUCUGUCUGAUUUUCGGGUGUGUGAUGGUAAGGGAGAGGUGAUAGGCUCAGUUGAUGUUGGAAUAUUGUUGGAGGUUUGUAUGGAUUGGUAGGAAGGUGAAAGAUAAUGGUUUUGUUGAUGAGAAUCACUUGGUGAUGAAUGUCUACUAAAUGUAGGUGAGGUUUGUGUGAUAUGUUGGUGCAAAGAUGUUCUAUUUGUGUUUGGAUGAUCAAUGGGAUUAAUGUCUAGGAAAGAAAGAUCAUUAGUGUUGCCAGUAUCACAAAAAAUGGAUGAUGGUAGUGUAUCAAUACUAGACUCAAUGUGCACAACGUAAGGAAAAAUGUAUUCAUGAAAUAUGACAUUUCUAGAUACAAAAAUUUGUCUACUCUGUAAGUCUAGAAGAAUAAAACCUUUUGUCCCUAACUUAUAUCCCAGAAACACACAUUUCCUUAACCUUGCCUCUAGUUUUGAUCUGUUGUGAGGACUUGCGGUGGCAAAUGCUUGACAUCCAAAGACUCUAAUAUCAGAUAGGUUGGGACUUGUUUGAUGCAAAAGUUCAUAAGGACAUUUGUUUUCAAGAAUUUUGCUUGGCAAUCUAUUUAUAAGAAAAGUAGCAUGUUGUAAAACAUAGGACCAAUAAUGCUGAGACAAAUUUGAUUGAAACAGCAAGGCCCUAGUGACAUUAAGAAGAUGACUAUGCUUUCUUUCAACCACUGAAUUCUGCUGAGGAGUUUCAGUGCAUGAGGUUUGAUGAAUGAUGCCUAGGUUACUAAAAAAUUGUGAAUCAUUGAACUCAAUUCCAUUGUCUGUUCUUAAUAUUUUUACUGUUUUAUUGAAUUGGUUCUUGACAAAGGUUCUGAAGUUUUGCAUCAAGAUUCUUGUAUUAGCCUUUGAUUUCAUCAAAAAAGUCCAUGUGUUUCUACUAUGAUCAUCAACUACUGUAAGAAAAUAUUUGUGUCCAUGUAUUGAACUAAUAGAAAGAGGACCCCAUAUAUCCAUAUGAACAAUUGCAAACAAAUCAGGACUUCUAUGUUUUUGGCUCAAGAAAGGAAGCCUAGACUGCUUUGCUAAGUAACAAUGAUCACAAACUAUCCUGCUAUCAGUUUUUACAUAUGAAUUUUUUUUACAUACAUUGUGCAACACAGAUAUUGAUGGAUGCCCUAGUCUGAAGUGCCAUGAAUCGAAUUGAGGCUUAUUAUGUUUGGCUUGAAAGGCAGUGUUUAGAUUAUGUUUUUGAAGCUUGGUUUUGGCUUUGAAAGGAGUAGUCUUAAUCACAUACAAAGCAUUUCUCACUUCAGCAAUUCCAAUCAUCUUCAAUGUAAUCAUAUCCUGGAUGACACAUUUUGAAUUAGAAAAAGUUAGUUGACAAUUCAGAGACUUGGUUAAUUUGCUAAUUGAUAUGAGAUUGAACUUAAAACUAGGAAUGAACAAGACAUCAUAUAGUAUUAGUGAAUCAGAAAAUUUUACAGAACCAGAGUAGUUUGUGUGUAUGACAGUUCCAUUAGGUAACUUAACAUGGAUAGGCUUGAUAGAGUGAUAAGACAUGAACAACAAAGGAUUAUGACAUAUAUGAUCUGUGGCACCAGAAUCUAAAAUCCAAUUUUCUGAUUUACCUGAACAAUCACCUUUGUGGAUUUGCAACUCACCAUCAGGGACAUGACUUAUUUGAUUGACAUUAUGAGUUGUAGUAUUUGACACAGUGGAGUUUUUGAGCAAGGCUGCAAGUUGAUUACAUUGUUCAUCACUAAAAUUGAGGAUGGGUGAGAGUUUGUUACUACCAAGUGGCAAUGAAUCCAUUUGUUCUUCUGGUUCUGAAUCAAUUUUUGUAGCACUAUUGACAUCACCAGUGCUUUGUUUUCCCUUGCUGUUUUGGAAAUGUGGUGGAAAGCCAUGUUUGAGAUAACAUGUUUCAAUUGUGUGCCUUUCUUUUCCACAAUAAGUGCACACUUUGGUUAUCUUCCUCUAUUUUGCACAAAACUUCUUCCAAAUCCACCUCUAUUCCCUGAUCUGAAAUUAGAUCUUUCAGCAGAAUUGAUCAUUGAUUUAGGAGCAAUGAGAUUCAUUCCAAUUAGUUGCUUCUCUUGCUGAACUAGAAACAAGAAGGUUUUGUUUAUCAAAGGCAAAGACUCCAUCAACAAAAUUUGAGCCUUAGUAGCAUUGAACUCAUCAUUUAAUCCUUUUAAAAAACACACAACAUACUCAAUGUCUCUUUGCCUUUUUACAGUUUUCAUUAAGUCACAUAUUUGAUACGUGAUAGUGUGGUGGUCAUCAUGGUCUAAUCAUAUUUAAUUAUGAAAAAGGUAGCACUUGUGCUUAUGAAAAAUUUGUAAUAUAAUUGUUUGAAGAAAAUAUGAAGUCAAAUAAGAGAUUGUUAAAAUUUUAUAAUUAAUGUUUAAGCAUUAGUUAUUUAUUUAUUGGAUUAUGCAAUAAGUGGUUGAAUCUUGAUAUAGAAAAAUUUUCCCUUUCCCCAUGGAAAAAACGAAAGACCCCAUCAACCCUAAAAAACAAAAGAAAGUGUGUCAAGCAUUUUGGAAAAAGUCCAAAACAAGGAGAUAAAAAAAUGAUCAUUGCAUUUACGAGAAAUUAUUACAUCGUCGGGUACUUAAUUAUGAAAAUGUGAUUAACACUAUUAGUCCAGAACACUAUAAGAUUUGUUUUCCAAAUUUACUACGAAAAGUUAAAAUCACUUAGUGUAAUGAACUGACAGUGUAAAGUUUUUUAUAAUGUUAACACAUUAUCGACCACCAUUGAUUUGUAUUACUUUUUCUUGACAAUCAAUUGAUAAUUAAUAUAUGAAUGAUAAAUGAUUUAUUGAAAGUGUAAAAAACAUUUACAAUGUCAGUAUAUACAUAUUAAAUCCACAUGCUAAUUUUUUCCAAAAUGCUUUUGUAAUAUUUAUACACUAAAAUGUUCAACUUAAAAUGCAAAUAAGAUAAUAUAUUCAUUGUUGCAAAAAUGAGAAUGUUGCAUUUGUUGAGUAGAUGUAUUAGACAAGAUAUGAUUAUGAAUAUAUUAGAGAGAAAAUUACGUAGCUCCUAUUGUAGAAAAGAUCAUAGAAUCAACCUUAAGUGGUUUGAGGAUGUAUAAAAGAGACCAUUAGAAGUCCCAAUAAAGAGAGUAAAUCAAAAGUGGUUAGUCUUAGUUACAAGUGUACAUCAAAAGAAUGUCAGUACAAUUUCUAUAGAUAUAGAGAAGUCAAGAAAAACUAGAGGUGAAAUAAUUAGAAAAUGGUUAAAAAUCAAUGUUUUGUUAAUGAACAUAAUUUAUGAUAGAAUAUUAUUGCAUCAUUCGAUCUAUGUGUAGACCUCACUUAAUUAUUCCAUGGUGGAAACUAGGAGAUUCCAUCUCACACAAUUAACAUUUCAAGUAUGCACUUUGGUUAACUUUUAACACUGAUUUCUAAGGGUAGAGACUACCCUGGGUCAUAGCUAGAGAUGAUAAUGAGUCUGUAUGGGCCCGGAUAGUGCACUACUCAGAUCUGUCUCGUUCACGCGAUUUUGUCUUGGACCCACAUGAAUGACUGUUUGGUAUGCCAACUGCGGUCCUUUGAUAUCCAACGGAUCCAUGAGUAUCUAUUAAUUCAUACUGACUUAGGUGAAGAUAACAGUUAUGGUCGACGACGACUUAGACAAACAACCACUCUUGAUGGUGGUUUGGGCUCUAGCUAGAAGUUUGUGACCAUGAAUCCUUGACAAAGAUGGUGAGAAGGAUGGAGCAAGAGUGCGAGACUACAUGAGUGUGUGUUUGUGAGUCCAUGGAAGAGACUGAGAGAGGAUGGUUGGAGUGUCAGACUCAAAUAGUGGGAGCGUAUGAGGGAGGUAGUGAGAACUAGGGAUGACAAUGAAAACCGAACCCAUGGGUACCCGCCCAAACCGAACCCGAAAUAAACAGGGAAAACCUAAUGUGAUUGGGUUCGGGUUUUCCCCGAGUUUAAUUUUCGGGUUCGAGUUAGGUAGAACAAAGAUCCUAACCCAAACCUGUCCCGAAGUAAUGUAAUUCAAUUUAAAAUUGAAAUUUCUAUCAUUUGUCCAUGGUUUUUAAUUUCUUAUUUUACUUUACAUACUAUUGGAUCUUCAAACAUAAAAGAAAUGAAAUAAUACAAGAGAAAAUAGCAAUGCUAGAGAAAAAUGAAACGAAAAUGAUAUCACACUUUUCGUAGUAUAUAUAUAAUUUUCGGGUUACCCAAAACCCAACGGGUUCAGGGAUGAUAUCUUUAUUUUCAACCCCGUUGAGUUUGUGUUCGAGUUUUGAAUUUCGGGUUUGGGUAUGUGCAAACCCGGCCUCGACCCCCCCCCACAUUGCCAUUCCUAGUGAGAAUAUAGAGACUGAAAUGAUACAAUGAGAGUCACUAUGAGUUUGCUGUUGUGUGUUAGUAUGUUAGUGUUCAAGAUUUUCCUAUUUAUGUUUUAGAAGCUAUUUAGGAAUUAAAUAUUUAAAUUUGUGGGUCAAGGUACUCGCGGGUGUGGGUACUAUAUUACUGGAUCUAUCCCAUUCAACAGUAGCAUUAAAUAAUCCAUGGCCCAUAUUAUCCAUGGGAUCAAAAUCACCAAUCAAGACUAGAUCUGUUGCAAAUAUUACCCAAGCGUUCCUAUGUGCCUCAGUACCCAUUGUCCUUUUUGUCAUGAUACAUUUCUUUGGAUACUAAAGUGACUUUUGAAAUUUUUUGGGGAAUAUAAAGGCAGGCACAAAAAUCUAAAAGGAAUGAAGUAGGUAUUUACUCGUUAUAAGAUUGGUUUAAUUUUCCAUAUACUUAGUAGCAACUUGCAAUGUUUUAAUAAACGGAUAGUCAUUGAAUAUGUGAAAGUAGUAGUUCAUAGUUUGUGGUUCGACCGUUGGUUCAAUUGGUAAGUAUUCAACUCAUGGUCCACCUGAUUGUGACUUUGAUUCUUAGUGAUGGUGUGACAAUCUCGUUGGUAGGUACUUUAUACAUUGUCAUUGACUCAUUAGGCUUAUGCUGAACUCAGUGAGUCCUCGUGACUCAACUCACAAUGUUAAGCAAAUGCAAAGUGAUGUUGAUUGCAAAAAGGUUUCGGGAGGCUACUUCUUCGUUAGUCGAGAUUUGCAUAGGAAAUCUAAACUAGUUCUAUAAAUAUGUAAGUACAAUGUUAUAAGUAGACCCAAUUAGAUUAGGUCUCUUCUUCUAGACUAUGACAACGAUGAGCAAGGACAUUGGAUCUACAUUAGUGGACAAUUAUGGUGGAGAUAAUGUUAAAGCAUAGUGAUAAUAAAAUAUGAUGACAUACCUCUUCUACUUAUGGGGUGUUUUAUUUACAAUGUUGACAUGCCUAUUCAUGGUGUUGGAAUGGGUGGUAGGAUGAUAAUUGACAGAGAAAGUGGUGGUCGACUAGGUAAGGGCCCAAAGUUCACUCUAUCUUAUUUGAUGCACUGAAAAACUUUGCGAUGUUUUGACAACAUGAACGAAAACAAAACGAAAGACUAGCAAUGCUAUGCAAGCAUAACCCAUUCAACUUUACAAUAUUGAAAUAUGAUUGUCAAAUUAACAAUCUAUAUUCCAUAAUGAUACAAAUAAAUAGAUCCAAUCGCUGUACAUAGAAAAUUAAAAGAGGAUAUCAUUGAGAUAAAAGUUUUGUAUACAUAUUCAAAGUCCCACACCAUCUAAGAUUGAAUUUUUAAUUCUCUUACUACAUAUAAAUACACCUUCAAUGCUACUAAUCAAAAUACACUUGUGUGCCAAAGGAGCAACUUUGGUGGCAUGGAACAAAACAUUUAGGUCGAAGAAUAAAGUAACUUCUUUUCUUAUUUUAUGAUAAUGAAUAUUUUAUGAAUUCUGUAUCACCUUUUCUCUUCCUAUUUUAUGAAUUUUCGUAUUGCCUUUUCUCUUCCUAUUUUAUGAAUUUGCGUAUUGCCUUUUUUCUUCAUCUUUUAUCAUUUGUUUUCUUGGGUUUUCCUUAUAAUUUAUUAUCUAAGCUUCUCGAGAAACUUAUUUCUAUUACUUUUUUUAAAGUAUAUAAUAGCCAUGUUCUUCGUUAGUGCUAUAGAUCUUCCUCACUCUUAUGUAUUUUAGAAAUUUGUUUUCAUUUCAACAUAACUCCAUAUCUACUUAUGUUACUCUAUAUAUGAUUUGCCAAAAAACUUGAUUUUAUUAGUUGGUCAGUGCUGAAUGAUCUCCUUCAUAAAUUUCAGCACGUAAUAGCUGAAAUCUACCUCGUUUUUCUGGCAAGGGGUCUACAAUUAAAAUGAAUUAAACAUAUAAGUAUAACCUUUGUUAAAAGAGGCUAUGGCUUCUUAUCUUCCUCAUUUUGAACAAUUUUUUUAUAAGCAAGUAGUCUUGUCCAUUCUACUUCAAAAGAAGUUCUAAAUUGGUGACACAUGAGGUGAGUUUUUAUUCUCUUUUCUAUUCAAAAUAACAUUUUUUAUUCAGGCUUUUCCAGAAGUUUGCAUUCAAUGAAAUUACUUCAACAAUCUUUAUUGAAUUAAAUAUAAAAAAAUGUGAUGGACGAACUCCCCACUCAAAUAUAAAGAAGGUAAGUAUUCAAUAGUGCUUUUCUACGAAUGCGUUGUUGAAUUAAAUAUAAUCAACAACACAUUGUUAAAAAAAUGAUGUUGUAUAGGUAUAACAACAACUCAUUCAUAGAAAAGCGUUGUUGAAGACCAUUAUUCCUAAUUCUAUACAGUUAAGCAGACAAUAGAAAAUAAGCUGAAUGCAUACAUAAACAUAAUAGAACAUCAAACUGAAUGGAUACAGAAACACCAAAUCACAAUUAUAUGAACAUAAUUGAAUUUAUAUAUUGAACAUUAAUUACACAUUAAUGUUACAUAAAUAUAUAUUACAUACAACAAAUCAUAUAUAUUACAUUGAACAUUAAUUGAAUUUCCUAAGCUACAAUCUGUGCAAAAAAUCUACUAUACCUAAUUGCCAACACAACUAAGUACAAACUUUGACCAAUGUUCUCUAAUCUGGUUGACUUGACCAUCUAUAUAUGAUUUACCAAAAAACUUGAUUUCAUUAGUAGCCCAUUGCUGAAUGAUCUCCUUCAUGAAUUUCAGCACGUAAUAGCUGAAAUCUACCUCGUUUUUUGGCAAGGGGUCUACAAUUAAAAGGAAGUAAACAUAUAAGUAUAACCUUAGUUAAAAUAUGAAUACACUACACAUAUAAUUGUUUGAGAUGAUUUGUGCCAAUACCUUUAUAUGAGUCCACUUGAUUUUGUGUUGUGGUAUCGUUUUUCUAGAACGAUUAAAGCCUCUGUAAACUCUCGCCACACUAAACAAUAGAAAAUGUACUUAAUUACGAAACAACUAGGAAAGUGAAAGUGUAACUAAAAGUUUAAAUGAGUAGUUCACUUACUUAGAAAAUAAUUCUUUCCUAGCGUGGUACUUGUCCGGAUCACCAUGUGCCAAUGAGUCAAAGUAGUAUAAUUCUUCAUUGACCCGAUUGAUGGCACCCAAAAUCCAAUGAUGUCUAAAAAAACAUAUGUACAUGGUUAGGAAAUGUUAAGAACAACAAACAUACUAAAGACAGAAAUAUAAAAGACAAAUAAAAAAUGCUCACCCCGUAUUAAAAUGUGUAGGAAAUAAAUUUGUAGCUUCUUUAUGAAUGAGGAGAGUAUCUGCAAUUUGUUUUGUCUGUUCCCCAAUCUUGUUUUUGUCACUCGACACCAAAGCGGUAAUGUAUGGGGAUAUGGACAUCACAUUUUUCUUAUUUACCGAAACAAAAUUUUCAUACAAGUACCUAAUAUAUAUAACACACAUGUUAGUUUAUUAUAACACACCGCCAUGCAAAAAUGAUAAGUUAAGAAAACAUAACUUACCUCAUAUAUACACAUAUAGUAGUUGCACCUAUACAUUCAUGAUUAUAUACAUCCUCGACUUCAUUGAUGCUAACGUAUUCUUCAACAUCAUCUGCCAACUUUUGUACAUGCUCAAACACCUGAGUACAGUAAUUGGUAGUCUUCUUUGAGCUCACAUCUCCGGUAGAUGGGCUCUAGCUCACAUCCCUUGAAGAUGGCUUAGUCUUUUGGGUGCUACUGGGGUAGAAUGUACAUUUUCCUGAAAUAUUUAAUAAAAAACAUAUCAAUUAUAGAUGAAUAUAUACAUAUAUAUAUAAUAUGAGUGAGCAUAAGGUGAAAAAUCAUACCUUAUAAGGAAUUACUUGUACAAGUUAUACAGGCCAAGAAGAGUAAUUGGCAGCAACACAUCAUCAUCGAUUGCAACAUCAAUCGUGACCUUCACAUAAUUGCAUGGAAUACGUGCAUUAUGCAGCAUAGCAUCAAUCAACUUGUGCAUUUUCCCCACACCCACUACUUGGCUAGUUGGGGUAUCCAGGAAAAGUUUGCAAGUAUUGAUUCCCCGUACGUAAGUUAAAACAUAUAAUUAGUUAACGACUAAAAACUAAAUGUCAAAUAAAUUAAAAUAAGUUAACUAAAUUACCUCAGAAAUGGGAAUCGGAAUGAGAAUGUUGUAGGUGAAGGUGUGCAAAUCUCAUUGAUGGUUGAAGGAACAAUGCCAACAACACUAGCUAGUUGUUGCCACUCAGCUUCCUUCACCUUCAUUGAUUUCUCAAAUUCAUUGAAUCAUUGCAUGAGGCCAUCCAAUUGAUUUUGAACCUGUCUCAUUUGGGCUUUGGUUGCACGCUUUGGAUGAGGUACAAAUGUUUGAUGACUAACCCCAAAUCAUGCACCUCAGAUACGGCCAGGGUAGAUAGGUAGUCCUAGUGUCUUAUCAAGUAUUAUACGACUAUCCGGCCAUGCCUUGUUUUCUUUUAGGGCAAUCACACAAAUAUAGAAAAACAUAAUGUUAAUUAAUCACACUUUGAUAAAUAAAGUAUGGAAAUUAAGUAUAACUAAAAAAUGAGCACUUACAACACGUCUUACCGCUUCUUGAACUUGAUCAUUAUCGAAGACACCAUCCUUGUUCUUACAGGCAUCUAUCCAUAGAACAUCGAGUUCUACUCUAUGUGGAGUCAUAGGUGUAUUGCUUUUGUUGUUCAACUGCCAAAACAUAACCAAUAAUAAUAUAAUUAGAUAUAUAUGCAUACAAAACACAAUCCUUAAUAUACUUACAGAUUAACAAUACUUACAUUGUUUUCCUUAAUAACUUCAUACCCCGCUCUAGAAGCUCGAUAUGGAUACAAAGGCUUAGAUGCCCUCUUCCAAUUUUUAUUACUUAAUUUCUGAAACAACAAUCAUAUAUGUAUAUACAAAAUCAUAUAUACAAAAGUCAAUACAAAGAAUAUGAUCUUAUCAUGAAAGACUUGUCUUGUGUACGUAGGGUGACAAAAGUCUUCCAAUCAUCUUCUUCAACGAUAUUUGCUUAUUUUGUCCGAGGUUUCAGGUUGACAUUGCCAUCAGCAUCUGUAAGUAAUUUUCCAGCAUCAUUUCGGAAUUGUCGGAGAGUCUUGCUAGCCGAUUUAAGGAUAUAAUCGUUAUGCUCCUCACCAACAUCAAAAGUUUACUGAAAACACAUAUACAUUAACUAUAUUGCAUACAAAGACAUGCAUAUACGUACAUUGCAUGAAAAUACAUAUACAUAUAUCACAUGAAAACAUAAAAACACAAAAACUGAAAAAUAAACUAACUGUUAUUUCAUUUCAAAUACGCUCCUUCACGACAUUCCCUAUAUCAGUCCAUUUGUUGAAUGUUAGCUUCACAUUCUGCCUAACCACAACCCCAAUGUAGCUUACCAAUGAGUUGCCACCCUUCGAGUUUAACGGUUGGCCUUUUGAGUUCCAUUGAACUUCUAUCUUCACAUCCUUAUUUCUUGCCCGAAUGACAUUCUUCAUGGAAGUCAUUCCACGUGUAAUUAAUUUUUUUAGCAAUGAUUUGCUUGUCUUGUAGAGUCGGUGUAGCUUCGUCACCAUUGUGAGAACCAUGAUCGCCACUUUGGAAAGCCAUUGAUGAAGUUUUUUGAGGUUUAUGAGAGUAUGAGGAUUUCUUUUCAAUUAAGUUUGAGAACAUAGAGGGAACUGAUUCAUCUUUUAAAUAUUUAAACUCUACUAACAAUUCAACAGUGCAUAUUAAAGAUAACACUGCUGUAUUGCAUCUUCAACAACACAUAUUAACGAUAACAUUAUUUUAUUGACAUCUUCAACAACACUUCUUAAGGGUUGCACUAUUGUUGUGUAUCCAGCUGUUUACUACUCAUUUUUAUAAACACAUCAACAAUGCUUCCUGGAUGAUGCGCUGUUGAAUAAAAUCUAAUUGACAGCGCUAUCUCAACUAUGCACUGUUAUGCAUUGUUGAAUAUAAUCUAAUUGACAUCACUAUCUCAACUAUGCGCUUUUGAAUAAAAUCUAAUUGACAUCACUAUCUUAAUUAUGCGCUGUUAAACUUAACUCAUUUUCCAAAUUAACAACGUAUUCGUAAUUAUACCCUGUUAAAUUUACAUUUUAUAUUACGGGUCAAAAUAUAUACAACAUGGAUAUACGUUAAGUAACAUGAAGUUACGAUGAAGUAGAUUACCAUACUAUUGUGUUUAUUAAUAACAAACUGCAAAGAUAUUAAACAUUAAGUUUUGUUAAUUUGUUUUUUGUAUUUAUUAAGUUUUGUUAAUUUGUUUAUUGUGUUUAUUAAUAUGGAACUGCAAAAAUAUAAAAUAACAUAACCAUUCAAAUAAAUAACAAAAAAAAAUAGAAAUUAACAUCCAAAAUAAUUGUUCAUUUUUCAUUCAAAGAGGCAAAAUACUUUAUAAAGAUCUAAACGAUUUGGUAGAUUACAAUGAACCGAAUGAAGAAAAUCAAUGAAAUAAAUAAUCUCCAGAGUAAAUCUUCAUCUUGCACAAAUCUUGUAGAACAACCACUUUCCUUCUGAAAUGAAGGCCGAUUUUGAAAAUCAAAAGAUGUUAAAGACCUCCUUCAUAAGAUUUCAAUGAAGGAAAUUAAUGACCUGAAUGAAUUAAGAAAAUCAAUGAACUAAAUAUUUUACAAAUUAAUUCUUUAUCUCACGCAAAUCUUGUAUAACAAUCACUUUAAUUUCCUUCUGAAAUCUUGAUUUGGUAUAUUAAAAUGAAGGAAAUAAAUGAACUGAAAGAUAUGGUAGAUGAAUGAACUAAAUAAUCUACAGAUUAAAUCUUCAUCUAACACAAAUAUUGUAUAACAACCACUUUCCUUUUGAAAUUUGGGUCCUUUUUCCGAAUCAAAACAUGUUAAAUACCUCAUUGACAUGAUUCUGAAACAGAAACACAACUUUAGCACUUUUAACACUUCAAGUUGUAGAUAUUUGUUGUCGGCUAUCUUCAUGAACAUACUCCUAGAGAAACACAUAUUCUUGCUGAUGAAAUAGAACGUGAAGUGAACCAUAAUAUUUAUAGAGUAGCAACCAUUAAUAAUUCAACAAACAAAGAGAGCAUAACCACUCAACAUUAAUAUUUCAACAAUGAAGAGAUGCAUAACCACUCAACCAUUAAUAUUUCAACAAAAGAAGAGAUGCAUAACCAUUCAAAAAUUCGUAUAAAAUCAACAGUGCAUAAUUAAGAAAGCGUUAUUACUAUGUUAUCUUCAACAACGUUUUCUUAUUUAUGCGCUAUGGAAUUUAUUAACAUUAACAUCGCUUUCUAUUAAAUACACUAUUAAACAUAACUCAUUCAAGCCAACGCAAAUGUUAAUGAUGUUCAACAACGUUGUGUCAAGAAUGGCUGUUGAAAUUACAGACAUUGACAACACUUGCUUUAAUAUGCGUUGCUCAUGUUCUUCUGCCUCGUUUUCAACAACGUUGUUCAAAAUUAUAUUAUUGAAUGACCAUUGUUUAUUACGAUAAUUGCUUGAAGGAAAUAUGAAGUCAAAUAAGAGAUUGUUAAAAAAUUAUAAUUAAUGUUUAAGAAUUAUUGGAUUAUGCAAUAAGUGGUUGAAUCUUGAUAUAGAACAAUUUUCCCUUUUCCCCAUGGAAAAAACGAAAGACCCCAUCUGCCCUAAAAAACAAAAGAAAGUGUGUCAAGCAUUUUGGAAAAAGUCCAAAACAAGGAGAUAAAAAAAUGAUCAUUGCAUUUACGAGAAAUUAUUACAUCGUCGGGUACUUAAUUAUUAAAAUGUGAUUAACACUAUUAGUCCAGAACACUAUAAGAUUUGUUUUCCAGAUUUACUCCGAAAAGUUAAAAUUAGGUAGUGUAAUGAACUGGCAGCGUAAAGUUUUUGUAAUGUUAACACAUUAUCCACCACCAUUAAUUUGUAUUACUUUUUCUUGAAAAUCAAUUGAUAAUUAAUAUAUGAAUGAUAAAUGAUUUAUUGAAAGUGUAAAAAACAUUUACACUGUCAGUAUAUACAUAUUAAAUCCAUAUGCUAUUUUUUUCCCAAAAUGCUUUUGUAAUAUUUAUACUCUAAAAUGUUCAACUUAAAAUGCAAAUAAGAUAAUAUAUUCAUUGUUGCAAAAAUGAGAAUGUUGCAUUUGUUGAGUAGAUGUAUUAGACAAGAUAUGAUUAUGAAUAUAUUAGAGAGAAAAUUAGGCAGCUCCUAUUGUAGAAAAGAUCAUAGAAACACACCUUAAGUGGUUUGAGGAUGUAUAGAAGAGCCCAUUAGAAGUCCCAAUAAAGAGAGUAAAUCAAAAGUGGUUAGUCUUAGUUACAAGUGUACAUCAAAAGAAUGUCAGUACAAUUUCUAGAGAUAUAGGGAGGUCAAGAAAAACUAUAGGUGAAAUAAUUAGAAAAGGGUUAAAAAUCAAUGUUUUGUUAAUGAACAUAAUUUAUGAUAGAAUAUUAUUGCAUCAUUCGAUCUAUGUGUAGACCUCACUUAAUUAUUCCAUGGUGGAAACUAGGAGAUUCCAUCUCACACACUUAACAUUUCAAGUAUGCACUUUGGUUAACUUUUAAAACUGAUUUCUAAGGGUAGAGACUAACCUGGGUCAUAGCUAGGGAUGACAAUGAGUAUGUAUGGACUCAGAUAGUGCACUACUCUGAUCUAUCUUGUUCACCCGAUUUUGUCUUCGACCCACAUGAAUAACUGUUUGGUCUGCUAACUCUAGGUCCUUUGAUAUCCAACGGAUCCAUGAGUAUCUAUUAAUUCAUACUGACUUAGGUGAAGAUAACAAUUAUGGUCGAUGACGACUUAGACAAACGACCACUCUUGAUGGUGGUUUGGGCUCUAGCUAGAAGUUUGUGACCAUGAAUCCUUGACAAAGAUGGUGAGAAGGAUGGAGCAAGAGUGCGAGACUACAUGAGUGUGUGUUUGUGAGUCCAUGGAAGAGAUUGAGAGAGGAUGGAUGGAGUGUCAGACUAAAAUAGUGGGAGCAUAUGAGGGAGAUAGUGAGAACUAGGGAUGACAAUGAAAACCGAACCCAUGGGUACCCGCCCAAACCGAACCCGAAAUUAACGGGGAAACCCGAUGUGAUUGGGUUCUGGUUUUACCCGAGUUUAAUUUUCGGAUUUGGGUUUGGUAGAACAAAGAUCCUAACCCAAACCUGUCCCGAAGUAAUGUAAUUCAAUUUAAAAUUGAAAUUUCUAUCAUGUGUCCAUGGUUUUUAAUUUCUAAUUUUACUUUACAUACUAUUGGAUCUUCAAACAUAAAAGAAAUGAAAUAAUACAAGAGAAAUAGAAAUGCUAGAGAAAAAUGAAACAAAAAUGAUAUCAUACUUUUCGUAGUAUAUAUAUAAUUUUCGGGUUACCCGUAACCCAACGGGUUCGGGGAUGAUAUCUUUAUUGUCAACCCCGUUGAGUUUGGGUUCGAGUUUUGAAUUUCGGGUUUGGGUAUGUGCAAACCCGGCUACGACCCCCCCNNNNNNNNNNNNNNNNNNNNNNNNNNNNNNNNNNNNNNNNNNNNNNNNNNNNNNNNNNNNNNNNNNNNNNNNNNNNNNNNNNNNNNNNNNNNNNNNNNNNUCCUAGUGAGAAUAUAGAUACUGAAAUGAGACAAUUAGAGUCACUAUGAGUUUGCGGUUGUGUGUUAGUAUGUUACUGUUCAAGAUUUUCCUAUUUAUGUUUUAGAAGCUAUUUAGGAAUUAAAUAUUUAAAUUUAUGGGUCAAGGUACUCGUGGGUGUGGGUACCAUAUUACUAGAUCUAUCCCAUUCAAUAGUAGCAUUGAAUAAUCCAUGGGAUCAAAAUCACCAAUCCAGACUAGAUCUGUUGCAAAUAUUACCCAAGCGUCCUCAUGACUCAACUCACAAUGUUAAGCAAAUGCAAAGUCAUGUUGAUUGCAAAAAGGUUUCGGGAGGCUACUUCUUCGUUAGUCGAGAUUUGCAUAGGAAAUCUAAACUAGUUCUAUAAAUAUGGAAUUACAAUGUUAUAAGUAUACCCAAUUAGAUUAGGUCUUUUCUUCUAGGCUACGGCAACAAUGGGCGGGGACAUUGGAUCUACAUUAGUUGACAAUUAUGGUGGAGAAAAUGUUAAAGCAUAGUGAUAAUAAAGUAUGAUGACAUGCCUAUUCUACUUAUGGGGUGUUUUAUUUACAAUGUUGACAUGCCUAUUCAUGGUGUUGGAAUGGGUGGUAGGAUGACAAUUGACGGAGAAAGUGGUGGUCGACUAGGUAAGGGCCCAAAGUUCAUUCUAUCUUAUUUGAUGCACUGAAAAAAUUUGCGAAGUUUUGACAACAAGAAUGAAAACAAAAAGAAAGACUAGCAAUGCUAUGCAAGCAUAACCCAUUCAACUUUACAAUAUUGAAAUAUGAUUGCUAAAUUAAAAAUCUAUAUUCCAUAAUGAUACAAAUAAAUAGAUCCAAUCGCUGUACAUAGAAAAAUAAAAGAGGAUAUCAAUGAGAUAAAAGUUUUGUAUACAUAUUCAAAGUCCCACACCGUCUAAGAUUGAAUUUUUAAUUCUCUUACUACAUAUAAAUAUACCCUCAAUGCUACUAAUCAAAAUGCACUUGUGUGCCAAAGGAGCAACUUUGGUGGCAUGGAAUAAAACAUUUAGGUCGAAGAAUAAAGUAACUUCUUUUCCUUAUUCUAUUUAAUUUUUUCCUUAUAUAUGCUUAGAUUUAUAUUUAUGUUUGUUGAUUUUGUAUAAACAUGUGGGUAUAAGAUAAUGAAUAUUUUAUGAAUUCUGUAUCGCCUUUUCUCUUCCUAUUUUAUGAAUUUUCGUAUUGCCUUUUCUCUUCCUAUUUUAUGAAUUUGUGUAUUGCCUUUUUUCUUCCUCUUUUAUCAUUUGUUUUCUUGGUUUUUCCUUAUAAUUUAUUAUCUAAGCUUCUCGAGAAACUUAAUUCUAUUACUUUUUUUUAAAGUUUAUAAUAGCCAUGUUCAUCGUUAGUGCUAUAGAUCUUCCUCACUCUUAUGUAUUUUAGAAAUUUGUUUUCAUUUCAACAUAACUCCCUAUCUAUUUAUGUUACAUUUUUGGUCUGGUGGGUUCUAGACUGAAAUCUGUGAAAAGUUCCGUAUUGAAGAUAUGUUAUAGGUUAUAAUUUUUCCUUCGGAAUAAUUUACAAUCAUAUUUGUAUUUAAUUUCAUGGUAAAAUUAUUUGAUUUUUUGUUUUGAUAGGUUGAUCAUUGUGAAGUUUAAUCUCAAAAAAAGUUCUAUCCAGAUUUUUUCUAACCUUAUGGAUAAAGAACUAAUCCCUUUCACGAACUGUUUCUCCUAAUAAAUAUUACUCUUAGAAGUCGAACCCUGAAGUUUUGUCCUUUUCAAGUCAAAUGAACUAUUAGAAACGAAUAAUUAUGGUUGAAGAUAUGCAUAUAAUGAGAGGAACCUCAAGUGGUUGUAAUUAGAUUCUUGUUUUAUAAAGCCUUGAUUGCAGCAUUUUGGAGAUGCCACAACCACAUUGGAGAAUAUUGGAAUGACAAGUGGAGAUGUUACAACAAAACCACAUUCGGUAAGUCCCUGAAUAUUUUACAUCUGUAUACAACAUAAAAAGCAAGAAUUUAUAUAAGAGUGAGGAUCCACUUACUCUAAGAUUUAAACUUCCUUAUCCUAGCCAUCAAUCCUAGGGAAAUCUAAUGGUUUAAAUUUACUCACUACUUCAAACCAUUAGAUUUCCCAAGAAUUGAUGGCUAAGAUAGGUUGGAGUAAGUGGAUCCCACCUCUUUAUAUAAUAGUACUUUUUGAAGAAAAUAGGAGGAGCCCUUACCAUUGUAUAAUAGUUGCUUGCUUAUACAAAUAUGUGAAAAUUUUGAAUAACUUAUUUUUCAUAUACACUAGUUUAAGACAUGUAUAUAGCCUUAUCCCUCUGUAUCCUUAAAUAGUUGAAGAAUUGUCAUUCCACAUAGUUCUUGAAUACACAGAUAAAGGUUCUACCUUGUUUUGCCAUCCCAAAUCUGACAAACUUUAACCUCAAAUUGGAAUCCACCAUCAUUUUUUAUCAUUAAUUGUCGUUGAACAAAAUCCACUAAACAGACUAUAACUACCUUCUUUUUUUUGCAUUUCCAUGUAAGAUUGCUUUAGUAGAUUAGGUCAAAAUAUGACCAUCUUUGGGAAGCAACAUUGGAAAUUUUAAUAGUUAAGUUUUGCUAGGUAUACACAGUUACAUGCUAAAGACAUUGUCCAUUUGUUAUUGAAUUUUUACAAGUCUGAAUACAUUUGUAAUCUUUACUUUAAUUUUGUUGUUAAGCUAAUUUUAAAUAUUGGAUAUUUUUUAAGCGAUAUUAAAGUAGUAAAAUAUUUUUGGAUUCUAGUAUGACAUCAAAGUUUGUUAUUUUGGGAUGACAAAGCAUGAUAAAGCUUAUAUUUUCCUGCUUGUGCUAAUGUUAAUGGCCUAAUAAUGUUUAGGACAUUUUAUAUUUGGAAUACAUUUUACUAUAUUGUCUUCAUUUUAACAAGAGGCUAUGGCUUCUUAUCUUCCUCCUUUUGAAUAAUUUUUUUAUAAGCAAGUAGUCUUGUCCAUUCUACUUCAAAAGAAGUUCUAAAUUGGUGACACAUGAGGUGAGUUUUUAAUCUGUUUUCUAUUCAAAAUAACAUUUUUUAUUCAGGCUUUUCUAGAAGUUUGCACUCAAUGAAAUUACUUCAACAAUCCGGAUUAUCAAAAAAAUUAAAUUGUUAUAAUUAGAUUCGUGUUUUAUAAAUAUAUUGCACCAUUUUGGAGAUGCCACAACAAAACCACAUUGGAGACAUUUUGAAUGGUAAGUGAAGAUUUUACAACAAAACCACAUUUAGUCAAUCCCUAAAUAUUUUACAUGUGUAUCCAACAUGAAAAACAAGACACUUUUUGAAGAAAAUAGGAGGAGCCCUUACCUUUUGUAUAAUAGUUGCUUGCUUAUACAAAUAUGUGAUAAAUUUGAAUAAGUUAUUUUUCAUAUACACUAGUUUAAGACAUGUAUAUAGCCUUAUCACUCGGUAACCCUAAAUAGUUGAAGAAUUGUCAUUCCACAUAGUUGUUGUAUACACAGAUAAAGGUUCUACCUUGUUUUGCCAUCCCAAAUCUGACAAACUUUAACCUCAAAUUGGUAUCCACCAUCAUUUUUUGUCAUUCAUUGUCGUUGAACAAAAUCCACUAAACAUAGAGAAUUACUUUAACGAUGAUAUUAAAGAUAAAGAAUAUUAUAUAAAUGGAACAUGUAAGAAGAUAAUGACAUAUGGACAAUGUGUUUAGAAUGAAAAUAUGCUUGACUAAACAAAAUAUUCCAAGUUUCAUUACAAACAUGGGUUUAGAAAACUUGAAUAUAAUUACCUUCUUUUUUUUUUACAUUUCCAUGUCAGAAUGCUUUUGUAGAUUAGGUCAAAAUAUUACCAUCUUUGGGAAGCAACAUUGGAAAUUUUAAUAGUCAAGUUUUGAUAGGUAUACACAGUUACAUGCUAAAGACAUUGUCCAUUUGUUAUUGAAUUUUUACAAGUCUGAAUACAUUUAUAGUCUUUACUUUAAUUUUGUUGUUAAGCUAAUUUUAAAUAUUGGAUAUUGUUUAAGGGAUAUUAAAUUAGUAAAAUAUUUUUGGAUUCUAGUAUGACAACAAAGUUUGUUAUUUUGGGAUGACAAAGCAUGAUAAAGCUUAUAUUUUCCUGCUUGUGCUAAUGUUAAUGGCAUGAUAAUGUUUAGGACAUUUUAUAUUUGGACUACAUUUUACUAUAUUGUCUUUCUUGCAAUUUGCCAAAAGAAGAUAUCAUCUCAUUCAUUCAAUAAAUUUCAAUUUACAUUGUUGAGUAUUUAUACAUUGAAGAAGAAAAAGGAAGGAAGAAAUGAAGCUGGUUCUGUUAUAACAGAAUCUGUUUUCUUGGUUAGCAAGAAAACGAAAAUGUAUCUAAUCUAGGCUAGAUGCAUCAAUGAAUGAUAAGGCUAUAAUGAAUCCAGGUACAUUUAGUAUGAAUUGAAGUAAAAGUAGACUAGAUUCAUUUGUUGAUGAGUAGCUUACGAAGCAAGGCACUUGUUGGUAGCUUAUCUUCCUUUGUUUUGUUGCUGGAAAGUAUAUCAAUAGCCUCCCUCAAGCUGGAGAAUAGAGAUUGAUGAUUCCCAGCUUGGCAAGAAGAUAGUGAAAAGGAGAUGGAUCCAAGGGUUUUGUGAGAAUGUUAGCCACCUGUUCAGCAGAGGGAAUAGGUAGAAGAUGAAAGAGUUUUGCCUGUAAUCGUUCUCUAACAACAUGACAAUCAAUGUCAAUGUGUUUAGUUCUCUCAUGGAACACUGAAUUAGCAACAAUGUGUCUUGCAGAAUUAUUAUCACAAUACAAAACAGUAGGAGCAGAGAGGGAGAUGUGGAAGUUGGCAAAUAGAUAAGUGAGCCACUGAAGCUCAUAAGCAGUGGCAGCCAAAGCUCUGUACUCAGCUUCUGAAGAAGAACGAGCAACAGUGCUUUGUUUCUUAGUUCUCCAUGAAAUCAGAGAGUGGUCAAGAAACACACAGUAACCAGAAAUUGAUUUCCUUGAAUCAAGGCAUGCACCCCAAUCUGAGUCACUGAAAGCUUUAAGUUGAAGAGAAGAGUUGGAGGAAUAGAAAAGUCCCUGCCCUGGAGAUCCUUUAAUAUAUCUCAAUACUCGAGUGAGAGCUUGAUGGUGCAUGAUUGUAGGAUUAGUCAAAAACUAACUUAAUUGCUGCACAGAAUAAGAUAAAUCUGGUCAUGUAUUUGUCAAAUAUAGUAGCCUACCAACCAGUCUUCUGUAGGAGACUGGAUCAACCAGUGUGUUAGAAGGAUCCUGAUGAAGUUUUGUGGUUUUGACCAUAGGGGUAGAGACUAGUUUGGAGGCAAGAAAACCAGUAUCUGAUAAUAUGUCAAGAGCAUAUUUCCUUUGACAAAGGGUUAUCCCAUCAUGAGACCUAGCAACCUCCAAGCUAAGGAAGUAUCUCAAUGUCCCCAAUUCUUUUAUUUUGAACUCAGAAUCAAGGUGAUGUUUCACAAAGGAAAUUUCCUUGAAAUCAUUUCCACCUAGGAUCAUAUCAUCAACAUAUAUAAGUAAGGUAGUGAAUUUUGAAUUGUUCUUCUUAGUGAAUAAAGAGUGAUCAUGAGUGGAUUGUUUAUAGCCAAUUGAGAUCAAAGAAGAGGACAAUUUGUUAUACCACUACCUGCUUGCUUGUUUAAGUCCAUAAAGGGACUUAUGCAAUUUGCAGACUUGAUUUGGUUUUGAAGUGAGGACACCAUCAGGGAUAGUCAUAUACACAUCUUCUUCUAAAUCACCAUGCAAAAAGGCAUUGUUCACAUCAAGUCGAUGAAGCAACCAGUUUUGAGAUGCUGCAAUGGCCAACAAUAAUCUCACAAUUGUAAGUUUGAUGACUGGUGCAAAUGUAUCAAAGAAAUCAACCCCUUCAAUUUGAUUAUAACCUUUCGCAACAAGUCUGGCUUUGUAUCUCUCUAUGCUGCCAUCUGACUUGUAUUUGAUUCUAUAAACCCAUUUGGAACCAAUGGGAACCUUGUCACUAGGCAAGUCAACUAAACUCCAAGUGUUGUUCAAUUCUAGUGCAUUUAAUUCAGCUUGCAUAGCCUUGACCCAAUGAGGAGACUUGACAGCUUGACUAUAGUGUUUAGGUUCAACAUUGGUGGUGAUGGACAAAAUAUGACUGAGACAUGGUUGUUUAAUGUUUGUAUAAGACAAAACAGAGGAUAGAGGAUGAGAAAUACCUUUCUAUGAUGAUGGAGGAGAUGAAGUGAGAAUGUUGCAGUGAAAGUCUCUAAAGUAUAUGGGAGGAUGUCUUAGUCUGUUUGAUUUUCGGGUGUGUGAUGGUAAGGGAGAGGUGAUAGGCUCAGUUGAUGUUGGAAUAUUGUUGGAGGUUGGUAUGGAUUGGUAGGAAGGUGAAAGAGAAUGGUUUNNNNNNNNNNNNNNNNNNNNNNNNNNNNNNNNNNNNNNNNNNNNNNNNNNNNNNNNNNNNNNNNNNNNNNNNNNNNNNNNNNNNNNNNNNNNNNNNNNNNAAGCAUGAAACGAUUAACAAAUUCACACGAACUAAGCAUUCAUGCACUAGAGAGGGUAAAUCAACUAAGUGAAGAUAAACUCAACCAACCAGUUUCUAAGAAAUGGUAUUAAUUAAACCAUAUUCAGAAAAGAUAGAAGAAAUCAACAAUAAAGAAACCGAAAAUACAUUAAUAACUAAACCUCAAGAGUUGUGAUAUAUUACCAAAGGAACUUAGUCCAGAAAUUUAGCCUUCCAUGGCAAUGGAAGAGCAAACCGAAAAUGAGAAAUGAAGAAAGAUGAAACCCUAGCAGAGCAAAAGAAAGGGAAAACAGAAAUGUGUCUUUUUCAAAAUGAGGCAAAACUAAAAAGUGUGUGUGUUUGGAGUGGGGAAUCCGAAUUUAACCCCUCCAACACACAUAAACCGAAUUAGGCCUAAACAAUGCGCCCAAAGCCAAAUUACAAUAAAACUAACUCCUAAAUUAAAAAUACAAUCUUCACUUCAACACAUAUCCUCGACUUCCAUAAUGCCCAAAAUGCCAUUGGUGCCAAAUGUGAUCUGAAAAUGAUAAUAGAUUUAAUCAGGCCAGAUAAUCCCAAAUAAACUCAUUUUAGGAAUAUUAGUCCAAUAAAAUCUAAAACACUAAACCAUGUGAAACAAAGUCAAUUAGGUACCAAGAAUCAUCAAUCAUGCUAAAUUAAGGUUAUGAAUAGUGUGUAAUAUAUUGCUCAUCAGUGAUGAAUGUCUACUAAAUGUAGGUGAGGUUUUUGUGACAUGUUGGUACAUAGAUGUUCUGUUUGUGUUUGGAUGAUCAAUGGGAUUAAUGUCUAGGAACGAAAGAUCAUUAGUGUUGCCAGUAUCACAAAAAAUGGAUGAUGGUAGUGUAUCAAUACUAGACUCAGUGUGCACAACGUAAGGAAAAAUGUUUUCAUGAAAUAUGACAUUUCUAGAUACAAAAAAUUGUCUACUCUGUAAGUCUAGAAGAAUAAAACCUUUUGUCCCUAACUUAUAUCCCAAAAACACACAUUUCCUUGACCUUGCCUCUAGUUUUGAUCUAUUGUGAGGACUUGUGGUGGCAAAUGCUUGACAUCCAAAGCCUCUAAUAUCAGAUAGGUUGGGACUUGUUUGAUGCAAAAGUUCAUAAGGACAUUUGUUUUCAAGAAUUUUGCUUGGCAAUCUAUUUAUAUGAAAAGUAGCAUGUUGUAAAGCAUAGGACCAAUAAUGCUGAGACAAAUUUGAUUGAAACAGCAAGGCCCUAGUGACAUUAAGAAGAUGUCUAUGCUUUCUUCAACCACUGAACUGAGGAGUUUCAGUGCAUGAGGUUUGAAGAUAUGUUAUAGGUUAUAAUUUUUCCUUCGAAAUAAUUUACAAUCAUAUUUGUAUCUAAUUUUAUGGUAAAAUUAUUUGAUUUUUUAUUUUGAUAGGUUGAUCAUUGUGAGGUUUAAUCUCAAAAAAAGUUCUAUCUAGAUUUUAUCUAACCUUAUGGAUAAAGAACUAAUCCCUUUCACGAACUGUUUCUCCCAAUAAAUAUUACUCUCAGAAGUCGAACCCUUAAGUUUUGUCCUUUUCAAGUCAAAUGAACUAUUAGAAACGAAUAAUUAUGGUUGAAGAUAUGCAUAUAAUGAGAGGAACCUCAAGUGGUUGUAAUCAGAUUCUUGUUUUAUAAAGCCUUUAUUGCAGCAUUUUGGAGAUGCCACAACCACAUUGGAGAAUAUUCGAAUGAUAAGUGAAGAUGUUACAACAAAACCACAUUCGGUAAGUCCUUGAAUAUUUUACAUCUGUAUACAACAUAAAAAGCAAGAAUUUAUAUAAGAGUGAGGAUCCACUUACUCUAAGAUUUAAACUUCCUUAUCCUAGCCAUCAAUUCUAGGGAAAUCUAAUGGUUUAAAUUUACUCACUACUUCAAACCAUUAGAUUUCCCAAGAAUUGAUGGCUAAGAUAGGUUGGAGUAAGUGGAUCCCACCUCUUUAUAUAAUAGUACUUUUGAAGAAAAUAGGAGGAGCCCUUACCAUUGUAUAAUAGUUGCUUGCUUAUACAAAUAUGUGAUAAAUUUGAAUAACUUAUUUUUCAUACACACUAGUUUAAGA